AAUUGUUUGGAAUGUGGUUCUAGCGUUGAUACUAUAUUUUGAGAAUCCACAACCUGCUCCAAUACCGACUGUUAUAAAAUUCAGUACCAUAUGUCGAGAUUCCGCAACGAAAAUGCCAUAUCAAGUUUUUACCAUAAACCCGUCUCCUUAGUAAAAGCUGAUACAAUCGUAAAAGAGAGAAAAAUCAAAACAGAAAAUAUGGGUAAAAUAAAAUUCACUAAAUAAGAGAAGAAUUACACCAAACUACUUUUCUAUAUAGAGUAACUUCAAACCGAGCCCUCUUUUUGAAUCUCUCCUAUCCUUCUCUCGUCUUCUGGAAGCCUAAAAGAAGACCUCUCUCAUCCUAUGCAUCAAUACACAAGGUAUACUAAUAUCCCACGGUCACGAAAGCCGCACACAUCCUCUUGCACCCAGGUACUAGGUGCAUCUAAAAUCAUGACCACCUUGAUCAUGCCAUAUGGGCGUGGCUAAGCCGUACCACCACCACCACCACUAAAAUAAAGCACCUAUGCUAUAGUUAUAGCUUACAUCAAAAGCUACCUAAAUCCUAGUCCAAUUAAAUUUAUACUCUAAUUAAUAUUUAAAUUUUAAUAUUUUACCUCCAAUCGAUUUAAAUAUUAAUUCUAAUCCAACUAGUAUUCAACUACAAAUCUAAAUAAAUCCUAACGGCUUUUAUACUAUUCGAAUUGUCAUUAAAGAAAUAAAAGGCAGAGUACUAUUUUUUUAACAGGAGCUGAGUGCUUUUUCAAAAAUUUUAGGAUUGUCAGUACAAUGUAAACUAACUAAACUUCUUUUCUCGAGAUGCAAACUCUUAUGGGAUAAAUCAAUCAAGUGGGCAUGAGCAUAUCAUAGGCAAACUAAAUCAAGCCUUAGUAAAUCGUGAGUGGUCUGCAAUGAUCAUUCCCCAAUCCUCGUCUUGUUUCAGCUUAUUUCGACAUUAGCUCUAGAAAAAAAGCCAUGAAAGCACUUUUUCAUGAGAAAAUUCCACCUCCAAAUGAUAGUUUUAAUUUGAGUAAUAAACAAUUGUGUUAAAUCCAUAUCAUGUUGUAUUAUAUUUUAUAUUAUGGAUCUUGGUUCUUUUGCUUGGUGAUGUAGGAGACUGCCAAACUAAUUAAUUAGCUUAUGAGAUAAUAGGUUUCAAACUAAAGUAAAUUAUUAGUGCCUAUAUGUGAUGAAGAAUCUCUUAAUUUGAUCUACUAGUGAAUUUUUUUGUUGCAUCAUAUUAUUUUUUUGGUUCAAUGUGAUAAUUGAUUUUGAUAAAUUUAUCUAAUUCUUGUUACAUCCUGUAUACGGUGUGAAUAAUCUAUGUCGAUGACUUUAAGUUGUUGUGGUAGUGUCAACCGUUUGUAAAAGAUCAAUUUAUGUGGUGAAGAGGAAUAAACAACUUGUGAAUGAGAAAGUUUACAAAUUAUUUACUCAAAAUUGAAAGCAAAAUUCAGUUGGAUCAGGUGAUGAUAAUUGGAUCAGACCUUCUCGUUGACAAUUUUAAAUGUAAGAAAUAGAAUCGUUUGGCUCGAUCUAAUGCAACCAGUCUAAGUCCUUAUAACAGGUCAAGUUGAUUCUCAAAAUUUUAAUACUUAAAUUCAAUGAGAAAGUCAAAAAUAAGAUCAUGUUGGUUUCAUUGUUUGAUAUGGCAUUUAAUAUGAUAUUCAGGUUCUACUAUUAAUAGAGGUUUUUUUAUAUAUAUAUAUUUGGUUUUUUAAUUAUUAUACUAAUUUUAGUUAUGUUUUUUCAGGUAUGAAUCAUUUACGAAAGAUGAAGAAUACUAAAGAUUUUUCAUUCAAAAUGAGUUAACUAGCUACAAAUUCUUUCAUAAAAAAAAAUUUUAAAAUGUCAUAUAAAUUUUUGUUUUUUAGGUUCAAAAUAUUUUGAAUAAAUAGGAUAAUAUUGGUUUGUUUUUCCUUUUGUAGAAGUUUUGUUUUGCAAACUGAUACAACUCUUUGCUAUAUUUGAAUUCUAUAAAUGGCACUUUUGAGUUGAAUGAAUAAAUGAUAUCUUUUACAAAAUUUAAGAUGCCUAAAUUAGUGCUUGUUUUGUAUUAGUUAGUAUGCGUAUAGUUUGGAAUUUCGUCGUAAUUGGAAAUCUGUCAGUAAAAAUAUUUAAUUUUUUCUAGCAUUUUUAUUUUGUACAGUAACGAUUGUGAAAUCAUUAUAAAAAAUAACUGCUUUCUCCAUCGGUCAAUUAAACCGUUGGCAAAGAUCGUUAGUGAUGGAGAUUCAAUGACAGUCUGAAAUUUUUGCCGAUAGCUCUAUAAAUGUCAUGAAAAAAUUUAGUAGCAGUUUUGACCGCUUCUAAGACCUUUUUUCUUGUAGUGAAUGAAUUACUUGUUUGAUUAAUUUUACAUGACAUACGGAGAAUGAAAAAUAUUUUCUAAAAAAAAAAAUGUAAGAACAUUUUAGUUGGCUAUAGAAAUCAACUCAUAAGUGUGAACUGGCGGGUCCUGUUUCAUCACAUUAGGUUGUAUGACUUCAUUUGGAUUUCCUUCUAUUUCGUUCUUAGUCAAAGCGAUAUCCUUAGUCCUUCUAUUUCGUUCUUAGUCAAAGCGAUAUCCUUAGCAAACUGACCACCAUAUAGAAAACAUCAAAACUAAAUUUAGAGGAAGAUAAUGAACAUAGUCCCCAAAUAUAAAGAUGUGAAAAAAAAAAGAAUAUCGUCUGAAUUGGUUCUGUACCGAGGCAAUAUAAGAUUCAAGAUCAUAACCAGCAUAAUAAAGGGGAAAUAAAAGAAAAGCAAAAAAGUAAAAGCAAUCACCAAAAUCUUACUCCCAUCUUCUACCGUUUUGAAUUUGCUGAUCAAAGUCAUCAACAUAUACUUGAAGCCUAUUCAGUAUUCAACAAAGAGAAGAAAAACAUCUUAUAUAGAAUAAAUUAAUAGUAAAAAGAAAUUAUAAUUUUCUUAAUUAUGGUGAAGAAGUUGGAUAAACAAACUAAUUAAAAAAACUAUGAAAACAAGUUGAAAAAGUAAACUAAAACAAAUUUAAAAUUAUCAAGCAUUUUUGCUAGAUUUUAACCAAAAAUCUGGCUAAAAUUAGAAAAAUAAGAAAGAUGGGUAUUGGGCGAGAGAAUGUUAGGAUGAAAUUUCACCAUAUGAACAUUUUUAUUUAAAAUUUUUUUUCAAGAUAUAAAUUAUGUUAGUAAAAUUUUCUUACUAACAAAUGUCAACAUUAUUUUUAUUUGUUAUAAAACUAUUUGUUUAUCAAAACACUACAAAAUUAUUAAUUUUUUUCCAUUAUACAUGAAACUACUAGCUUUCUACUAUUUUUAUUUAAAAAUUAAUAUUUUUGUUAAAAUAUAUUGGUUGGAGAUAGCAAAAAACAUGUAAUCAACUCAUUUCAGUAAAAGAGAAAACGUUUAAAAAUUUAUAUUAAUUCUAUUUUAUUAAAGCUGUCAAAUUACAGCUAGAAUAGGAACUUUAUUAUUAGCACUAUAAAGAUUGAAAAAAAGUAAUAGAGUUAAUCUCGUUAGUUCAUAAAUACAAAAUCAAUUUUUUAUAAAAUGGGGUUAAAUAAUAAGGGUAAUUACUAAUACAAUUCAAAGUUAUGACCUUUAACAUUUAUUAUUUAAAAGUUAGGUAACAAAAUUUAUUUCUCUAAAAUAAUAAAAUUUAUAUCUCUGAAGUGUCGGCUUAAAAAUAAUUAUUUAUUUUGUGAAAAACUAUUUUAAUAAAGCGAGUGUUCUAGACUAGGCCCAUUUAAUAUGAGAAAAUGCGAAACCACAGGAGCUAACUUGAUACACUUUAAACCACAGGGGAAAGUGUGAUUCCACGGGGCUAUUUGAAGUUUUUCCAUAAAUUUAUGUAACUUGCAUCUUGAAUUGAUUGUGCAAUAGAGAUAAUAGUAGUAAUGACACUUUGAUUAUGGUAGGGACAGUGUGGUGGAGGAAGAAGAAUAAAGAUAAAAAAUUAGAAUGAUCAUAUAAAAUAAUCUAAUUAGUUACACAACGUUUGGAUUGGAUACAAAAGGGGAAUAAGACCUUAUUCCCUCUUGUACCCAAACAAGAGUUGGGCCCACCUUAUCAGGUUAUACCGGUAUAACCCGGAAUGGGGUGGGAACAAACUUGUUCCCCUUGUUACCCUGGUAGAGAGAGAGAAAUGUGUUUUAAAUUAGAAUUUAAAUUUUUAAAUUUUAAAAUUUAUAAUUUUAAAAUUAAAAUUUAUAAUUUAAAAUAUUAAAUUUUAAAGUUUAAAUUUUGAUUUUGAUAUUUUAAAAUUUUAAAUUUGAUAUUUUAUAUCUUUCAAAUUUAAAUUUUAAAUUUUAAAAAUUUAAAUUUAAAAUUAUAAAUACAAAAUUUAAAAAAUUAAAAUUUAAAUAUAAUGAGAAGGAUAAUAUCAUUAUUUUUAAUUUAUAACUAUCUAUUAUUCUUUUUAUUCUACCAUAUCUAUCAAAAUAUUAUUUUUUUUAUUUUCGCGAACAACAGAAUUUUCAUUCAAAUAAAAAAAUUUUCUAAUUUUUAUUUAUACCCAAAAUUGUAUCUAUCCCUGAUCUCUGAAAUAAGACAGUUCUUACUUGUAGUGGAAACGAAUGAAGCCUAGUAUUCAACUACUUAAUAUUUUAUCUCCAAUAGAUUUAAAUAUUAAUUCUAAUCCAACUAGUAUUCAACUACAAAUCUAAAUAAAUCCUAACGGCUUUUAUACUAUUCGAAUUGUCAUUAAAGAAAUAAAAGGCAGAGUACUAUUUUUUUAACCGGAGCUGAGUGCUUUUCAAAAAUUUUAGGAUUGUCAGUACAAUGUAAACUAACUAAACUUCUUUUCUCGAGAUGCAAACUCUUAUGGGAUAAAUCAAUCAAGUGGGCAUGAGCAUAUCAUAGGCAAACUAAAUCAAGCCUUAGUAAAUCGUGAGUGGUCUGCAAUGAUCAUUCCCCAAUCCUCGUCUUGUUUCAGCUUAUUUCGACAUUAGCUCUAGAAAAAAAGCCAUGAAAGCACUUUUUCAUGAGAAAAUUCCACCUCCAAAUGAUAGUUUUAAUUUGAGUAAUAAACAAUUGUGUUAAAUCCAUAUCAUGUUGUAUUAUAUUUUAUAUUAUGGAUCUUGGUUCUUUUGCUUGGUGAUGUAGGAGACUGCCAAACUAAUUAAUUAGCUUAUGAGAUAAUAGGUUUCAAACUAAAGUAAAUUAUUAGUGCCUAUAUGUGAUGAAGAAUCUCUUAAUUUGAUCUAAAUAUUUUUUUUUUAUUUUCGCGAACAACAAAAUUUUCAUUCAAAUAAAAAAAUUUUCUAAUUUUUAUUUAUACCAGAAAUCUCUGAAAUAAGGCAGUUCUUACUUCUAUUGUAAACAAAUGAAGCCUUAAUCUACCACUGGCGUCCGUUCAUCUCCGGGGAGCUCAAAAACAACGGAGCCGCGCGCCGAGCCGCCACCAACCCCCCUGGCCCCCUCCCAUGCGCUUAACUCGUACUCUGCUGCUCUCCAAUUCUCCUCCUCUCCUCCCAGCACGCAUACCCCAUCCCUCCCCCUUCUCUCCACCCUCAACAUCUUUCUCCCAUUCCCAUCCCCACGCCCUCUCCCUCCUCUCCCAGCUCCUUCCCGCCUCCUCCGUCCUCUCCCUCCUCCGCCGCAUCCCCCUCCGCGCCUCCUCCUCCUCCUUCUCCUUCCCCUGGAACCUCCUCAUCGCCGAGCUCGCCAAGUCCCCCUCCCCCCACCUCUCCCUCCGCCUCUUCCUCGCCAUGCGCUCCGCCUCCGACGCCCCCGCCGACGCCUUCACUCUCCCGCCCGUCCUCCGCUCCUGCGCGCUCAUCGGCUCUCCCGAAUCCGGCAUGGCGGUCCACGCCCUCUCCAUCAAAAUGGGUUUAGAUAGAAGCCUCUUCGUCGCCUCCGCUCUCGUGAGCUGCUACGCGACGUUACGCGAGGUUCCUUUCGCACGCCGCUUGUUCGACGAAAUGCCGCAGAGGGAUGCUGUGCUCUGGACGUCGAUGCUGUCGGGCUACGCACAGAGCGGGCUGCCGGAGUCGGCGCUUCGGUUCUUCAGGGAGAUGGUAAGCGAAGGGGUCCGGCUCGAUGGAGUGGUCAUGGUGAGCUUGCUGCUUGCAUGCGGACAAUCGGGUAUUCUCAGGCAUGGUAGGGCUGUUCAUGCGGCUAGCAUUAGAAGGUUCUCGAGGUUUCCGUUAUCCUUGGGGAAUGCUUUUGUAGACAUGUAUGUGAAAUGCGGGGCGUUUGGAUGCGCUUUGAAGGUGUUCGAUAGAAUGCCGCAAAAAGACAUUAUUUCGUGGACUGCUUUGAUUCUUGGGCAUGGGUUGAAUGGGAGUGCCGAUGAUGCUUUGAGACUUUUCGAGGAGAUGAGUGUGGAAGGGGUAGAGCCAAACUCAGUUACUUUUCUCGGGGUGUUAUCGGCAUGUGCGCAUGCUGGCAUGGUGGAGAAGGCACGGUCACUUUUUGAUAAGAUGAAGCUGAGUGGCAUUAAGCCUGAAUUAAAGCACUACUCUUGCAUGGCUGAUGCGUUAGGAAGGGCGGGGAGAAUCGUGGAAGCAGAGGGGUUUAUAGAGGAAAUGCCUUUUGAGCCUGACGAGGCGAUCUUGGGGUCCUUAUUAGCGGCUUGUCGAGUUCAUGGUAAUGUGGAAGUUGGUGAAAGAAUUUCAGAAAGAUUAAUGAAGAUGUGCCCAGAGAAGAGUGGGUACUAUUUGAGCUUGGCAAACAUGUAUUCAGAUCUUGGUCGGUAUGAUGAUGCAGAAAGAGUGAGGGAGUUCAUGAAGCAAGUGAAUGUUGGGAAGCUGCCUGGUUGGAGCUCAGUUGAAUCAAAUGAUUUUCUAUCUAUAUCACAACCAGGAUAAAUUUUUAUUAUCUGAGCUGCUCUGAUAAUUAUAUCAUCAGCUUCUGUUUACUGGCAUCUAGUAACUGAGGCUGAUUCCUCCCAGGGUCUAGCUUUAAGCCCAACCAUUUUCGUAACAUGUAGUGGAUGUUGUCAGGCUUUUCAAUGUGUUUACUGAAGAAAACAAUGCUAGAGGCAGCCAGGAUGGAGGUCAGUCGAGUUGCGUAAUUUUCUCUCUCUACUUCAAUGGACAGUUGGGAAGAAGGAGACAAUAUCACAUGGUCAAACUUUUUCAUCCAAGAAAUCAUGAGCUUUUGUGUAGAUCUAAUAAUCAUCUCUCUUUUGAUGAUCAAAUGAUUGGAGGUAUGCUGUCUCUCCAAUAUCUAGCUGUUUAGUUUUACUACACUUUUGGUAAAACUAAUCUAAGCUCUACUGACGGCAUAUAGCUAUACUAUGAAGAACAAGCUACUUUGUAUAACAACGAGAAAUUUCUUUCUCUGCUGACUGCAUUGCAUGCGUCUAUGGCACUGACAAGGGCUUCUUCAAUAUUUCAUUGCCAGAUAGUACUGUUUUAGUUUUUUAGCUGUGACUUUCCUAUGUUUAACUUUCAAAAAUAUAUACUCUCUGAAGCAAUUUUCAGAAGACAAUUAUGGCCACAUCCAGAUGAGUUAGUUCAUUUCUAUCAUUUAUUUAUGUUGUCAGAAUAUCAAUUAUGAAAUUGAAACCUGCUAUUGCUUUUGACCAUUAUUUCAUCUAUACCAUGGAGAGCAGUACUAAUGCGUGUGUUCUAGACUAGCGCUAAUAUGCUAAUUGAUCCACUUCUGCUGAUUUCUUAUGUGGUUUACAAUAUUGAGUCUUUCAAAGGUAGGACAUGUGAGGAAUGUAAUGAAUAUUGCAAAUGCAAUUAAUUACAAAGUCAUUAUCUUAUUAGGCCCACUGAUGUGAGGUUGCAAAUCUUUAUUUAUUUAUUUAUUUAUUUUUGCUAAUGAAAUCUUAGUUGCCAUGCUCGUACUAGAUGCAGUUCAUGCAUUAUAAGUUCAUAGUUGUCAAACAAACUAUUAAAGAUGCAAGCUAAAACAUAUCCGCGGUGCUUCUACUCUUGUAAUUUUCGAUACAAUAGUUGCAUACAUAAUUUAUGAGAACUGACUUAUAUGACAACUAAGUGUCAUAUACAUCGCUGCAAAACUGUGGUAGUGAUAUAUUCUUCAUGUUCUGCAGUUCUGUGUAUUCUCAGUGGUGAAAGCAAAAAAGCAUAGUCUAAGUUGGCUGAAGCAACUUGCUGUUGGUACUGGUUGCAGAAGCUGAUCCACUUCAGCAGGUAAAUUAGAUAGAUAAGAAGUAAUUCUUUUCUUCUUUGAUUCAAUGCAUAUUCCAAAAAAUUGUGGACAUCUAUGAUUUGCAACUAUCAGAACAGUUUCUUUAUUUAAAAGUCAUGUAACUAUUGAACUAUCACCAGGGCUUUUUUUGCAUUUAUCCCCUAACAAUUUUUUUUUUGUAAUAGCCCCAUAAAAUUUAUAUUUACAAAAUUAGGCCUAUUUCUGCGGCGUGAGCGCCACGCCAGCGCUAUACUUGGGAAAGUUUUGGUUGAACAUGGUGAAUUAUUCACAAUGUUUAGACACGGUACCGUGUCUAAACACGGUGAAUGGUUCUCCAUGUUUGAAUUCGGUGAACCAUUCACCGUGUUCAAUGCAACUUCCACUUAGCUAUAUUUUAAUACUUAAAAUAUCAAAUACAACAUCAAUAUAACAUUGAUAAUAUCAAUACAACAUCAACACAACAUCAAUACAAUAUCAACACGACAACAUGUCCAAAAUAGAUUGAGUUUGUUCGAUAAGAUAGAAUGUUUUGUACAGUUCAAAAUAUACAAAAAUGAAUGUUACGUCCUCCUCCUAGUCUCUCUCCCUCGACCAUGUCUAUCUAUACGUCUUCGACUACAAUGGUGACCACGAUCAACACCAUGCUCAUCGAAGGGCUCUAUGACUUUCCACUGACCAAGAUGUUCGAUAGUAGCUCCCUCAACAACUGGUUGAGUGUUUUGCGUCUUGAUCACCAGUCUGAGCUCGCGGUCAGCCAUAGCAGGUGUCGGUACUAUAUUUGGCUGUGAAGGAGCUCAAGAUAAGGGCUGAUCUGUGUGGGGAGAUUGCAACUGUCGAUGCCGUUGGCGCCUACGAUAAAUAAUAUCGGCUUGUCGGGAUGGAUCCUCUGAUAAUGGUAUUAUGUCUGAAUGAUAAGGUGAAUUCUUUGCAAGUGGUAUUGAUGUCGGUGAAGAUGGCCCUGACGAACUAUGUAGUGGUACAUGGCCCGACGUCGGUGGUCUAUUAUAUUCUAUUGGCCGUGGAGGUACACAUUGUACAGUGUUUGGAAGUGUCGGUAAAGUCUCCAAAAUUGGCUCUAUUCGAUUAGCAACUUGUGUCAGGACUUCUGAUACUUUACCAUACGAAAUAUCCGGCAGGACACGUUCAAUCGUAUAGUGCGAUUUCUGCAUGACAUCGACUUAAAAAAAAAGCAGCAUCAUGAAAAUUACACUAAUUUUUCUUUGUAUAUAAAAAUAAAUAUAAUAAUAUAAUAUUAUAUGAAAUCAUACCAAUACUCUCUCGAUAUGUCCAUGUGGCUAAUAUGCGAGGGGUGGACGCUGUACUGGCCUAGAUAUUCAUCUCCUGGUGAUCCUCCAAUACCAUUGCACGUAAACAGUAGUAACUCGUAUAGGAUCAUGAUUUACAUAAGGGUCCACCUGUAUUAUAUUUAUCAGUUGAUCAUCCUAAUGUGGAAUAUAUGGAGCAUGAUACGUCUUCCAAUUCUCAUCUGCUCUAUCUCGUGACGUGAUGCGAGGUAAAGUAACUACCACGUCUGGUGUAUGCUGUAGAAGGUCAAAUUGUCGAAACACUAGAUCAGGAAGAUGAAACUCAAUGACGUAGAAGCAGACUAAGAUGGUUUUAACUCGCUAAACCAGGGACCCCGCUAAACAAUAAGCUGGAAGUGUCUCUAGUACUGCAUCUGUAUAAGGCCUCCAUGUAAUCUAUUGUGAAAAAUAUUUAUGGUUAUUCAUUUUAAAAUGAAAGCUACAUUUAUGAUAAGAUCGAAUUAUUUUCAUUUACCUGAACUCUAGCUACUCACCAAACUCUUCACGAUAUAACUCAAUAUCAGUAGUCCUAACAUUGUCCUGAAAAGCCAACUUAGUAUUCCACUUAGUUUAUUUAUAUCAUAUUAGUAAUGAUAAAAUAAAAUUUUGAAAAAUUAUUUGGAAAAUACUUACCUGCAACCUAGUGGCACGUCAACAAGUUCAGGCUGCGGUCCGACUAUCUCAGGUCGAUCAAUAUGCAGGUGGUCCCAUACCCAUAUUUAUAUAAAAAACUACUUAGAAACUAUAAGAAAAAUCCAUCAAUAAAAUUAGUAGUAAAGGAAUGUACCUGAUGUAAUGUUCCAAAACAAUGACACUCUACUUUCUCCCUCAUUGAAGCAUUCUGUAAUGCUUGACAGAGAUAAGCUAGCGUCAUACCACCCUAUGCCAGCUUACUGCAAGAGUCAAAAUUUUCUAAAAGUGAUGACUACUUCAAAUGCACUCUAUUCCCGCUUAGUUUGGCAACAAACUACACCCUACCUGAAACAGCAUAUACGCUUAUGUUUUAGCUCCGACAGUAGCGGGAGAUGCAUUUAGAGCAAUAUCAUGGAAAUAAUGGUACAACCAAUCUAUCUUUAUGUCACCGCACCUAAUAUAUUCCGAAAUCACCCCGAGAAGUAGCUCGCAGAGUUGCGGCCACUAAUACGACGCCCCGUUUGUCACAACCCCACUAUGGAUGCGAAGUUCUAUAAUAAUAGCUACGUCAUCUCUCUGUAUCGUAUGUGGAAAAUCUGCUUUUCCCUCCAACUCUCGAUUAAUGAUCCUAACAAGGAACAAGGACUGAUUUAACUGCAUGCGCCUCAACCAUGAUACAUAAUAAAAUCUUGCUCGUCGCAAUAGCUCCAAAACUGCAGGAUGCUCAAUGUGCCAAUGAUUCAAUUUACGGCCAUGCUCCGUAAAUUGAAUAGGAUAAUAACCCUGCAAUAUUAUAAAUGUCAUAUAAUAUCAGUACAUAAGUUUCCAAAAAAAAAUAUAAGUUUAAAAUAAAAAAGUACAACCUUCUCUCUGAUUAAAGUGGAUCUAUGGUGUGGCUGCUCAGCCAGUACAGAUGUAUCAAUCGGUCCUGGCACCUUGUGAUCGUCCAUUUGAAAUAUCCACAUAAAAUCAAUGUGCAAUAAAAAGAUAUAAUAUGAGUGCAGUAAUAUAAAAUAAUAAAAUAACUCUACAACAAUCAACAUAUCAUACAACCUAAGCGAUGACGUCUCUUGGUCCUUCUUUGUUGAUUUUCAGGACAUGUGAUCUUGUAAUGCCCGUGUUGUUUACACAUAUUACAUUUGCCUCUUCUACUACCAGCGCCUUCUUCUAUAAUAUUGCAAAUGUGAGUAAAUUUAGCUCGCUAUUUUUUUCUUCUCCUGCGUAGUGGAAGUAGAGGAGAAUCAUAUAGCUCAACUCAAUAACGCCGAUCGAGAACCGGAUGGAAUCGUGAUUCACAUGUUUUACGGUAAGACUCGGUAGUAUACCAAUAAGAACAUAAACUAUAGUAAUCUAUGUUCAUGUAUUAGAAAUUACAAUAUGAUAACAUAUGUGAAUAAGGGAUUUCCGUGAGUUGCAAACACAAACAUGAACAAGUAGAAUCUCUCUCAUUGAUAAUCACUUGGUAUUGCAAACCCCUUCCAGUAAGUACGUCAAACUCGUGAGCAACAAAUUGCGGAAUUGUAUAUGCUCUAGCACAUGUCAUCUAGUUGUUGAUGGUCUUAUCAAUAGUCGAUACAAAUUGAGUAGACAUUGAUGCUUCCUCCGCACGAUGUUUUAGAAAGAAUUCAACCACUCGAUGAAAUAUUGCCAUUAUAAAAGUUGUAAUUGGUAAGGCACAAACUCUUUUUGACACUUCAUUUAAAAUUUUCGAUUGGUUUGUUGUUAUAAUGCCGAAUCGUCGACCACCAUCGAAAGAUUUGCCCAAUAUGUCUUGUAGGCGUGAAGUUUCUCAACCUAUAUCCAAGCAUCUUCAUCCAUAGCCUUCAAUUCUUUCUUUAAUGCGUAAUAUUUUUGUUCUUCUGAGACAUUUCCGAUAGCAUAAAAUUUCUUAAGCAAGUGUUUUGCUUUAAAAUAAUCAUUCACAUUAGCCUUCAUAUGUCGCAAACACUAACGAUGAGCAUGAUCUUCUGAUGAUGGGAAUACAAGUGCAACAAGAUUCACUAGCCCUUUAAAACGAUUCAAAAUGAGUGUAAUAACUCGAAAUCGUGUUAUAUACCUUCGUAGGCAAUUUAGAAAUCACUUCCAACUCGAGCUAUUCUCUCCCUCGCAUAUUGCGAAUGCUAACGAGUAUAAACCACUAUCGGCAUAGACACCUGUGGCAAUUAAUGCGUGGCUUCCGUAUUUUCCGAACAAAUGGGUAGCAUUGAUACUAAGUAAUGACCGACAAUACUCCCAGCCAUGAAUUGAGGGUCCAGAAGCCCAAAAGGCUCGUGUAAACAUUCUUAAAAAACUCGCCAGUCUAUGACAAGCGGGGAGUCGUAUUAGUGGCCGCAGCUCUGCGAGCUACUUCUUAGGGUGAUUUCGGAGGAUAUUAGGGGCGGUGACAUAAAGAUAGAUUAUGUAUCUCCCGCUACUAUCAGAGCUAAAGCACGAGCGUAUAUGCUGUUUUAGAUAGGGUGUAGUUUGUUGCCAAACCCAAGUGGGAAUAGAGUGCAUCUGAAGUAGUUGUCACUUUUAGAGAAUUUCGACUCUUGCGGUAAGUUGGCAUGGGGUGUUGCGACGCUAGCUCAUCUCUAUCGAGCAUUAGGGAAUGCUUUAAUCAAGGUUUAAAGUGCCGUGGCAUGGAGGCGUGCCGUUGUCUGCCUGGCACGGUACGGCACCGGCACGCUUCCGUGCCGACACGUGAUACGCUUGCGUGCCAAUGGAUACGCACGACCUCCUACUGGCACGCUUUGGCACAGACUUAUUUCAAUUUUUUUGGUUCCAAUAAGCUCUUAUAAUGUUAUUUUAAAAAAUUUAAUCAAAUAAUUAUGAAUAUUUGCUAUAUAUAGCUUACUAUAGUCAUCAAUUAACAUAUUUGUAAACUUUUCUGUAUGUAAAGUACAAUUAUAUCUGAUGUAGAAUAGAAAUUUUUACAGGUAAGAAUUUUUAAAAUGUAAAGACAUCUUUUUUUCUUUUUUUUGACCAUAUUACAGCCUUUCUUUUAUAAAAUACAAAAAAAUAAUUUAAAAAAUUAUUCGAAAAAAUUAUUUUACAAAGUAUUUGAAAAAUUAUUUUUUUAAUUAAUUUUUUCAAAAAAUAGUAGACCUAUCAAUAAAAUUAAGCAAUAAAUUAUAUGUCAAAUAAAUUAAACAAAUUUAAGUAUCAAUUGAUUUAAUUUAGUUUUUAAUUUUAUCAGUAUUUUCAAUCUUUUAGCACAAAAAUAAAAUUUUAUAUUUGAUGCGGCUCGAAUUUGUUUAUUGAGUUCGAUUUUGUUCCCUUCAUUUGCCAAAAAAUUCGCAGUGCGAUAAAUUUUAAUAAAAUAAUUUGUGAAGGAAAAAUAGAUAUCUAUGAUAGAAGCAAAAAGCUCAGACAAAUCUUUUGUCCGUAUAUUGAUAAACAAAAAAAAUUAAAUUAUAAUUUUUUUGACUUACCUCAUAAGUAAAUUUUCGAUUUGCAAUGUCAUUGGGGAGGGGUGUGGGGUAUCUAGAAUGCUUUGGAUACCCCAAAGAACAGAACAAAAGGAAAAAAAAAAAACAAAAAGCAAAAAAAAAAAGCAAAAAAAAAAAAAUUAGCAUAGUGCCGGCACGACACUGUGCCGUGGCACGCCGCACCGUGCCGCUCUGUCUCGUGCGGCACAGCACUGCGUGCCGCGGCACGAAGGGGGGUUCGAGACCCUUCCUGUACCGUGCCACCUUCUUGGUGGCAUGGUACGUGCCGCCCCGUGCCGUACGGCACGGGGCGACACUUUAAACCUUGGCUUUAAUAAGGGGGAAGGUAGAGUGUCGUUGUUUUGGAACAUUACAUCAGGUACAUUUCUUUACUACUAAUUUUAUUGAUGGAUUUUCUUAUAGUUUUUAAGCAGUUUCUUAUAGUUUCUAAGUAGUCUUUACUAUUAAUUUUUCAAAAUUUUAUUUUAUCAUUACUAAUAUGAUAUAAAUAAACUAAGUGGAAUACUAAGUUGGCUUUUCGGGACAAUGUCAGGACUACUGAUAUUGAGUUUUAUUGUGAAGAGUUUGAUGAGUAGCUAAAGUUCAGGUAAAUGAAAAUAAUUCGAUUUUAUUGUAAAUGUAACUUUCAUUUUAAAACAAAUAAGUAACCAUAAAUAUUUUUCAUAAUAGAUUACAUGGAAGCCUUAUACAGAUGCAGUACUAGAGACACUUCUAGCUUUUUGUGUAGCGGUGUCUCAUGUUUGGCGAGUUAAGACAACCUUAGCCCGCUUCCACACCAUUGAGUUUCAUCUUCCAGACCAGGUGCUUCGGCAAUUUGAUCUUCUACAGCAUAUACCCAACGCGGUAGUUGCUCUACCUCGCUUCACUUCAUGAGGUAGAGCGAAAAAGAAUUGGGAGGCGUAUUUUGCUCCAUAUAUUCAGUAUUGAAAUGAUCGAUUGAUGAAUAUAGUAGAGGUGGACUCUUAUGUAGAUUCUGAUCCUAUACGAGUUACUACUGUUACAUGCAGUGGUAUUGGAGGAUCACCAGGAAAUGAAUGUUUAGGCCGGUACAGCGUCCACCCUCGCAUAUCAGUCACAUGGACAUGUCGAGAGAGUAUUGGUAUGAUUUAUAUAUAUCAUAUAUUAUAUUUAUUUUUAUGCACCAAGAAAGAUUAGUGUAAUUUUCAUGAUGCUGCUUUUAUUUCAAGUCGAUGUCAUGCAGAGAUCGCACUAUACGAUCGGAUGUUUCUUGCCGGAUAUUUCGUAUGGUGAAAUAUUAAAAGUCUUAACACCAGUUGCCGAUCAAAUAGAGCUAAUUUUGGAGACUUUAUCGACACUUCCAAACACUAUACCUUCACAGCCAGCAGAGUAUGGUAGACCACCGACGUCAGGCCAUGUACCACUACAUAGCCCAUCGCAGUCUCCCCACGCAGAUCAACACUUAUCUUCACCUCCUCCACAACCAGAUGUAGUACCGAUACCUGCUAUGGUUGAGCGCGAGCUCAGACUGGUGAUCGAGACGCAAGACACUCAGCCAGUUAUUGAGGGUGCUACUAUCAAACGUCUUGAUCAUUGGAAAGUCAUAGAGCCCUUCGAUGAGCAUAGUGUUGAUCGUGGUCGAGGGAGAGGGAUUAGGAGGAGGACGUGAAAUUAAUUUUUGUAAACUGUAUAUUAUCAAACAAACUCAGUCUAUUUUUGGAUAUGUUGUCGUGUUGAUAUUGUAUUGAUGUUGUGUUGAUGUUGUAUCGAUGUUAUGUUGAUGUUUUUAAGUAUUAAAAUAUAGCUAGGUGGAAGUUGCAUUCAAUAUUGUAAAAGGUUUGCCGUGUCUAAACAGGGUAAACUAUUCACCGUGUUUGGACCCGGCAAAUCAUUUGUUGUGUUCAAACACGGGGAGGAGCCAUUCAUCGUGUUUAAACACGGUAAAUAGUUUAUCGUGUUUUAACACGGUAAAUGGUUCACCGUAUUCAACUUAGCUACCCCGAUCAACACGACGCUCACAUGGCAGAAAUAGGAUCAAUUUUGCAGGUAUAAAUUUUGUAGGCCUAUUUAUAAAAAAAUUGUUAGGGAACUAAAUGCAAAAAAAGCCCUUUAUACCAUGUUGGGAACAAAUAAGAACCAUGGGAAAGCAGGAACAAGUAUAUGUAGCUUUACUUGAUGAUGCCUAUAUUGAUAAUAAGUAAGUUCAAUCUUCCAACUGAUUUGUUGGGCUUUAUUCUGGUUAAUUUGUUGCAAACAGACUUAGCUUGUAAAUUCUUAUGUAAUCGAAAGUGAUAGUCAUUAACAUGUUUAAUUUGAUACUUUAAGUAAAUGUAUGAGCAUGUCCAGAUUUUUAACCGAGCACUUGUCAAGUAUAGUAUCGUUUCUGAUUAUGAUCUAUUAAUUGGAGGCCGAUACAACGGUGUUCAAAGUGGUUAUAGGGAAAUCUGGUAUAAUUUGACCAAACUUAGAGAAAAUGGAUUGUAACUUUUAUAAACUUCUAACUUGCCAUAUCAGUUUGUCGGAAACUUGGUUACAUGGACACAAACACAAGACAUGGGACCCAACACAUCUUGGACAGGCAGACUUAGAAAAAAUUAGGAUGCAAAUAUGGUAUGUAAAUAUAUAUUUUUUAUAUUUUAACACGUAUGUAAACAUCUGAUUUAUAUAUUGUUAAUAUAUUUGUUUAAUUAAGUCAUGCAUUAAAAUUAUGUUAGGUACUAUCAUAAUCUUAGAAGGCUUAUUUAAGAUAUAAGUAUCAGAAUAAGAUAACGAGGGAUUUACAUAUAAAAUUUCCAUAACUAGAUUCAAAAGAGAAAAAGAGAAUCUGGAUAUGGGAACGAAGAAAUAGGAAAUCAGGAAGAGUGAUCCCAUGUUGUUUUCGCUUAAAAUUGUGGAGGUCGGUCAGACACGGACAAGGCACCUUUCCAGCCAUGUCCUAAUUUGCUUGGUAGAAACUCAAGCCACCACAUAAUUCAUGUUAGAUCUGUUCAUGAAUUUGCGGACGCUUAUUCAUGUUAACAAAAAAUGAAAUCGCUGAACUUAUUCAAAGUUUCAUUUAGGUCACCGAAUUUUAGUUUGUUGUAAUUGAGGUACUGAGCUUCAAUUCUUGCGUCGACUCUAGCUUACACUUCUCAAAGUCCCUUAUGGAGGGAUGAUGCGACAGCUGAUUUAGCUACCACAUCAUCUUCAAGAGAUAUGACAUGAGGAUGAUGUGGCAAUUGAAUCUUAAUAGAUUUGAGAUGACAUGGCACUUGAAUCAGUUGCCAUAUCACCAUAUCUUUAUUUGGAGAUGAUGUGGCAGCUAAAUCAGUUGCCACAUCAUUCCUCUGUUAGGGAAAUUGAAUUAGUUUAGCAGAAUGAUCCAAGUAAAGCAGUCACUGAUGUUUUAUGACACUGACUCGGUUUGCUACAUAUCGAAGUUUAGUUACCUAAGUGAAUUAUGAAGAUAAGUUCAACGACAAAUAAAUUACCUAAGAAUGAUAGAUGAGAAUAACCAACCAUACUUAGCGUAGUUGGCUAAGGAUUUGAUGGUUGGUAUUCGAGGUCACAAAUACGAUGCCUAGUUGCUUCACAUUUCUAGCCGUGUUCAUUUCUUAAAAGAAAAAUUGAACAGAGCAGAUAGUCACUACCAUUCUCUCUCUCAAAAAAAAAAAGGGAUAAGAAUAAUUUUACAUAACUCAGUUGCUAUUGUAUUAGUAAUGAUGCAUAGGGUGAAGCGGGUUAUAUAUCAAUAUACUGGAAGUAGGGAAUGGUAUGUAUGGUGCUGGAGUGCUGUAGUGCUGUUAUUUUGAUUGAUGUAUGCCUAUAUUGUUUCAUGUGCAAUUCGUGCAAGACACUAUUGUUCAAGAUGGAACUUUAUUUUUGAGAUGGUCAAGGGUCAAAAUCCUAUAAGAGGGCUCCUUAUAGUUGAUUGUAUAAGGAGAGUUGGAUUUUAUUUAUUCAUCCUUUCCUUUAAUCGCAGUCAUCAAACUAACUUUUCUAGGAAAUGGCUAGAAGUGCAACUUAGUUUUUAUGGCUUGAAUUGAAAGGAUAGGAAUGGAAGAAUGGAAUCAAUGCUCUGUUAAACAAUUUUCAGAAGUUGCUUCUAUAUGGAAUUUUUGUCUAACGGUCAACCCUCUGCAUAGUUUGUGUACGAUAUGUGGGUGCAUAUUCAGGCACAUAUGUAGAUUAAUGGUAGUGGUAAUGAUAAUUUAAUGCAUAAACCAAAAGUUUUAGAAUGUCCCUUUUACUUUGAAUAAAUGAAAAUAAUAUUAAAAAGUAGAGAGACCUUUACAUAAACAUCCAAUCUUUAAUGAAAUCCCUUUUCAGGGGCUUAAGCCGCACCCCGCGGCCCUGAAAAGGGUUGAGGAAGAGGUGGGGGAGAGGGUGUGGGGCAGGUGGGGGGGUGGCUUGAGCGUCGGGGGGGGGGGGGAGACGCCCUGGGAGCGGAGGAGCGCGUAGCGGCAGGGGAGAGCAGUCAUGGCCGUCGGGGAGGAGGAGCCGCCUAACGGAGGGGGUGGGUUUUUUAGGAGGAGGGGUUGGGAGAAGAUUCUGUUUUUGGGGGAACUUAGGGUUCUUUUGGGGUGGGGGGGGGGGGGGGGGGGGGGGGGGAGAGAGGAAAAUUUAAAAUAUCUUUUUUUAGAUAUAGAGGCGAUUGUUUUAAACCACCUCUAAUGUGGUCUCGAACGUAUAGCGUAGAGGCGGUUAGAACAGCCGCCUCUGGACAACCGUCUCUAUGAGCGCUGAGCCUUAUCGAAAUGUCGACUAAAACAGAAUCUAUAGAGGUCAAACAGGACUUUGCAGCCCAAUUCUAUAAUCCAUAUACCAUGUUAAUGUCUUACAUGGUUUGAAAAGGUGGUGUGGACAAGCCUUACUCCUUAGAAAAAAAAAUUAAAAUUGAGAGAUGUUUCUUGUAACGACUUAACCCGCUAGUAAUAAUAACUCGUUGGGUUCAAACCAUCAGCCCAAAAUGCUUAAGCGCAGUUAUUAUUAUUAGCGUGUGAGGCCUCAUAUAUACCAAUCAGAAUCAUAAUGUGGGACUCUCUAUGUUUAGACCCUGACGUCCUCGUCGGAUCCAAACUAGAACAAACAAUAUAUACUAUAAUUAUUAGGCGAUGUGAGAUGGCUCUUACAGGUUAGAAUUACCAGGCGAAUACUAGGCGAUGUGAGAUAGCACCUACAGGUUAGACACCGACGUCCUCGUCGGGUUCAAACCAGAAUAGACAAUAUAUACUAGAGUUACUAGGCGAUGUCAGAUGGCUCCUACAAGUUAGAAUUACCAGGCGAAUUAUUAGGCGAUGUGAGAUGGCUCCUAUAGGUUAGAAUUACCAGAUGAUGUAAGAUGGCUCCUACAAGUUAGAAUUACCAGAUGAUGUGAGAUGGCUCCUACGGGUUCAAAAGGUGGCUCCUAUCAAACCUGUUGGUGUUGCACUUUGCCCCACAUAGCGGUUAGCUCUCACACUUUCGGCUGGUAUUCGGCUCUGAUACCAAUUGUAACAACCCCACCCGCUAGUAAUAAUAACUCGUUGGACCCAAAUAACCGACCUAAAAUGUUUAAAUCGAGUUAUUAUUAUUAUUAGCUUGUGAGGCCUCGUAUAUACCAAUCAGAAUCAUUUUCCCAUCUAAUAUGGAACUUGGGCGUUACAUUUCUAGAGCUUCUUGCAGCUAGCUAGUGCUAUCCAUAAGGUCUUUAGAUUCUUUCACGUAGGACUGACCUUCAAAUUUACCGUGACCACCACCUGGUGUUUUCUUCUUAAGCUCAUAGAACUGGAGCAUUUGUUGUGCAUGUUGGUGAAGGAGCUAGUGGUGCAUGUAACACAGAUAGGUUCAUGAAGCAAAUGUGGAUCGGAGUAUUGGGUUCAUGAAUGAACGCGUUAUGGAGGAGUCUGCACCGAUCAGGUAUGUGAGCCCAGCUUUGUCAUCAUGAGAGUAACUACAUUUUACUAAGAUCGACUCGUAUGCAUGCAUACUUACAAAAGAGUAACAUUAUGCCCUGUGAAACAACCGUUGUGCUCUAAAAACUUAAGCUUAAGCUAUUAGAGAACGGUGUUUAAACACUUUUAUAUUUAACACUUCCUCUCACGUCUGGGCUCGAGACUUUUUAGUCGGCCCAUGACGUGGGGCUUGAAUUAAAUGAGAGAAAAUUAAUAUGCUAGGAGCCUGGCGUGAUUUGAACUCAGGACAACCUGCUCUGAUACCAUGUGAAACAACUGUUGUACUCUAAAAACUUAAGCUUAAACUAUUAGAGAACGGUGUUUAAACACUUUUAUAUUUAACAUGCCCAUUUUUGAAAGUACGUAGCUGUGUAAUCUGGUUGGUGGAAAUUCUAUUAUCAAAAAAUCUAUACAAAGUAGGAGAUGGUGGACUCCACAGAGUCCAAAGGAGCCCAUCGCUUAAGCGCGCGUUUGGUUUGCGUUAUCUUUUUAAGAUUCCUAGUAAUCCGAUAGGAAUAAAAAAAUAUGACGGUGUUUGGCUAAACGCACUACGUAAUCUAGUUGGUAAUAUUAGAUUUACUUGGGAAUGAGAUUCAUCCCAAAGUACUAAUCUCAUCCCCUUGAGAGAGGGUGGGUAUCCUCAAAUUAAUUGAUUGGGAUAAUCAUAAUAUGUCUAAUAUCUUUCUUUCUCCCUACCCGCCGGCUAGUUGGUUUUAUUUUUCUUUACACUCUAACCUCAUAUCUCUCUCUAAAAUUUUUUUUUUCUCUCUAAACUUCAACUCUUUUUCUCUCUCUAAACUAAGCUCUCCCCUCCCUCCUCUUUUUCUAAAAUCUCAACUCUCUCACUACCUCUAAUCUCGAUUCUAUUUCUCUUUCUAUUUCAUUAAUUAUGCUCUCUCUCUCUAACCUAUGUUCUCUCUCUUCCUUUUUUCUAAAAAAAUGUUGAAAUUUUUGGUGCAUUAUCUAAAAUUAAUUAAAGAAAAUAAAUAAAUUAAUUGUAUAUUUUUUGUAAACUUAAAUAACAUGACUAAAUAAUAUAACCGGGCGAACCAAACACAGGAAUGCCACAUUCUUAGUAAUAGGAUGAAUAGGAAUAAGAUUCUCGGACAUCUUUUUAUUGCUAGUAAUCUUUCAUAGUGCGAACCAAACGCACCCUAAGAGUAAUAUUAUGCCCACUUUCUAUAGUACAUAGAAGCAUAUUCUGGAUUGUGGAAAUUUUAUUAUCAAGAGGUCUAGCCAAAUUACGAGAUGGACUCUACACACCGUCCAAAAGAGCUAAUGGCUCAACAUGCAUUCUAUAUGGUGGGAGUAGGCACUAGGCAAAGUAAUAUUCUAUACCAGAAAUCACACGUAGAAACAUCGUAUUUUGCUCAAUUUUGGACUAGGUCAAAUCUUUUUCUUUACAAGGUAUUGCCAUGCGAAAGAGUUAGCACUUCUUGUUCCUUUUUGAGUUCACAUGCUUUCUUAGUUGUUUAUCCUUGCUUAGCAGUUUGUUACUUGCGAAACAUUUGUCUCAAAAUACUAGCUGAGCCAAGUUUCAAAAUCCACAACUGAUAUCGGAACAUACUACCUAGGAGUACUCAUUAUUGCUAGGGCUUUUUUUUGCAUUUGACUCUUCAAAAUAUUUUUUUUUCAUUAGUCCUAUCAAAUUUAUAAUUGCAAUUUUAAUCCUAUUCCAGACACGCAAGUACCACAUCAGCACCACGCAAGCUGGCUGGAGAGGGGCGUUAAGUUAAAUACGGUGAACCAGUCACCGUGUUCAAACACUGUGAAACACGGCGAAUUGUUUAUCAUGUUCCAUAUUUAUAUUUUCCCUGUGCAAUACUUAUAUUUGUUCGCAAUACAUAUAUUUUUUCUAGACACAGUGAACAUUCAUUGUAUUUAGACACGGGGAAUGAAUUAUUGUGUUUAACUUAUUCCAGCACCCUAUCCUUGCUGGUGUGGCGCUUACGUGGCGCCUGUGUGGCGGGGAUAGGGUCAAAAUUGUAAUUAUAAAUUUGAUGAGAUUAUUUGUGAAAAUAAUUUUUUUAAGGGGACCAAAUGCAAAAAAAACCUUUAUUGCUAUUGUCAUUGUUAUUGUACCAGUAGUGUAGUAUUGUAGUUAGUCCUGCUCUAUGCUAUUAAUAACACGAAGUCAUUGGUACUUUUAAAUUUUCAGUUUUUGGAUGAAAGGAUGUGCGGUUAGAAUAAUAGUGGUCUUUUAGGGUUUAGUAGAUGGUUGGUUGAAUAGUAUAAUCUAAAGGGUGGAAAUGGUUAAAUAGGUAGAUCUUCGGUGGAAAACUUGGCAGCACUAAGUAAGUUGCUAUUGAUAGCAUUAUAGACAUAGUCAUAUUAUUAUUAUUAUUAUUAUUAUUAUUAUUAUUAGAGCUAAGCUUUUAAAAGUAUGGAGGUCUUUAUUUUUGUAAGUUGUUUUUGAUAUAAGUUGUUUUUGAUGAAAGAAUAUCUGGUUCGGCGAUCUAUUCCGUUAGAUAUGAUCUAUAGUAUUGGAAUUAGUAAGAAACUAAAUUUUAUAAUUUUUUUUGCACGUUUGUCUAAUGAACGACCAGUCUUAAAAUGAAUGGUUGAAAAUAAAAAUUUCAUAAAAAUGAUAGUAAAAGACUUAAAAUUCAAAUCGAAAAUAUUGAUCUUGCUCUUGAUGGUAAAUAUAAUUUUUUAUUAAAAUUUUAUUUAAUUUGGAUUAUUUGGAUUAUUCUACACUGUUGAACUAACAAACGUGUCAUAUUGGCCAGUAAAAUAGUUAUUUUUGAGACCCUUUAAUCACUGGGUAAAUAAUGUUGAAAAAUUAUAAAAUUUUGUUUCCAAAUAAUUCUAAUAGCGUAGAUUUUGUUUAACAAAGCCGAUUUUUGAAUUGAAAGUUUUCAUUAUCGAAAAUAAUAUACAAGCACGAAGAUCUUCGUGCUUUCGAAAGCACAAGAUAUGUAAUCAUCCUAUUAUUUUUAUAGUAGCAGUCCUGCUUUAUGCUACAGGUACUUCUGGUUAGGUUGUGUUGGUACGCAUGUAUUUCCGAAGGAAACUCCAUGCAACGAGUGGGUAUUAUUGUUAUUGUUAUUCUUCUAUUUCAUUUUCUUUUUCUUCUUCUUAUUAUUAUUCAGACCUUCUAAAUUUAAAAAUACCUUCUAAAUCAAGUUAUUGUCAUUCAUUUUCGUUAAUGGAUGAACAGUAGCAAAUUUUAAAAAUGACAACAUUUGAUUAGUAGAUAAUUCAGACCUUCUAAAUCAAGUUUAAUAAGGUUAACCGUGAAUUCGAAUGCCGAAUUUUCUAAGACGACUUUGUAGUAAAAUAAAUUUUUUACUUUUUAUUUCAACGUACUUUCUUAUCGUACGUAAUGCAAUCUUUCGUAAUUCCAAACGAAGUCUAUAUUGUGUAAUCCCAAACGAGGCCUAUAUUUUGGAAGCAAUUUUUUUGCUUCAAAAAGUUUUUCAAAUAAAUUCUCAGCACCACUUCACAUGGAUGCGAUAGAAGAGAAGUCUUUCUACUGAAAUAUUAAACUAUAUUAAACAAAUAAGAAAAAGGGCAACAAUGUCGCCGCUUAAACUUUUGAUUUUUGCUCCUUAAAAGAUCGUGACAUCAAUAAUUUAGUAUAACUAGUGAAGUUACCCGCAUAUUGCGGCGGAAUGAUAUAAAGUAAAUAUAAGUAUAGAUAGGAAUGAUAUAAAAUAAAUAUAGGUAUAGAUAUAGUAAAAUUUAUAAUUUUGAUAAAUAAAUCACAGAUAAUAAUAAUGAAAAAAACAAUAAAAAAAUUUCUACCCUAUACACCACUUCAUCGCACUUCAUAGGAGUGGCAAAUUUUGAUCUUUACAACGCCAUCGCCGCUAGUGUCGAGCUCUUCUUUAGUUACGACCAUGUCAAUCCCGUAUAGAUUCUUUCACAUCCAUUGCUUCUUCCCCCUCACUGACUCCAAAUCUAUCACCGCUUCCUCCUGCCGUGCCCCAUCACGAUCUUCGGAAUCCUAAUUUCAAUUCACACACAAUUAAAAAAAAAAAUUACAAAACAUGAGCUCUUUUUGUGCGCCAAGAAAAAAAGCAAAAAAAAACAAUAUGAAAAAAAAAAGAAAAAAUUUUAUUUUACUAAUUUGUUUUUGUGAAAGCAAUUGAGAUGUGGAAGUUAGGAAGAUGAAGCAUUGGAUGGAGAUGAAACCAUGUAAGCACAUUAAUUGAGAGGUGGGGGUUAGGAAGUGAAGCAUUGGGUGGAGAUAGGAUCAUGUAAACACAUUAAUUGAGAGGUGGGGGUUAGCAAGAUGAAGCAUUAAGUGAAGAUAAAACUAUAUAAAUACAUUAAUUGAAAGAUAAAACAUUGGGUGGGGAUGAGAGUGGGAAGAGCAAAGCCAACGGUAAAGAAGGAUUCGUCACAUGGUAAAAAUUUAGGAGAAAUAAUAUAUAGGCAAAGUUUAGAUAGAUAUAGAUAUAUAAUAUAUAGGUAUAGAUAUAGAGGUAUAGAUAGCAUAUUAUACCUAUUAUUUAAUUUAUUUUUUAAAGUAAUUUGAAAGUCGCAUUAUAUUUUUAUUUUAAAUAUUUGAUUAUAUUUUUUAGGCCAAUUUGCAUAAAAAACCCACUAGUUUUGUGCUUUUGCAAAAGUGGGUCAUAUUUUUCGAUUUUGUAAAUUCGGACUAGAUUUUCAACAAACUGACCAAAAUGCCCUUAUUACUUUUUCUCUCUUUUUUUUUUUUUUCUCUCGUUCUUUUUUUCUCUCUCCGAAAAAGGGCAGCGGAGGCGGAGACAAAACUAGCCCGCCUGGCCUCUGCCUUUGCCUCUUCCUCGCACGCCCUCGCCCGUGCACCCCCCGCUCUCCUCGCCUCCGACCCUGCUGAGGCCGCGCCGUGACCCUUCUUCUCCACUAAGGCACGGCGAUGUCGAAGCGCAGGCUCUUCUCCUCCACCGCGUGAUGGAACGCCAGGACGUCGUCGAAGGCGGCGAGAUUGCCUCCGGCGACGUUACGGUGGUUGCGAUAAAGAGCAAGAGAGAGGUGGUGAUAAAAAAAAAAUUAUAGAAAAAAAAAAAGAAUAAUAAAAAAAAAAUUCUGAUAAAAAAGAUAAAAAAAUAUAGAAAAAAAAAGAAGAUAAUAAAAUUACACUGUUAAAACAAGAUUACACUGUUUUAAAAAAAAUUGUAUUAUUUUAAUAAAAAUUAUACUAUUAGAUAUAAAAAUUACACUCUUUUAAAAUAAAUUUUAUACUAUUUAGACCAAAGUUGCACUAUUUAGAAAAAUUUUGCACCAUUUAUUUUUCUUUUCUUUUUCUUUUUCUUUUUCUCUUCUUCUUCUUCUUCUGUUGCCGCCUCCCGCCGGGCGGGCCGAGGCCCCCCUCCUCCGCAUGCCCCGCCCCAACAUCGCUUGAUAUUAUUUUGAGCCUAAAAGAUUAUCCUGACUCAUACCAACAUAGAAGUCGAUCAAGAGGCAGGCUGCUAGUAGUAGGAUUAUACUGCCCUUCAAAGCCUUUUCCCAGCAUUGUGCAGUUUGGCUAGAACACUUUUUGAUUGCCAGUAUAUUGUUGGCUGCAAUUGGGCUCAUUCAGAUUUGGAGAACUCAACCCUUUAAAAUCACUCUAGGUAUGAAAAGAAUUUGCGUGAAGGAAAGAUGAUAACUUUUGAUACAUGGGGCAUAUCUUCAUCUAUGGAGCAAAAGUGGAGCUAGGAGUCAAUGAAACAGAGUCUUGUCGCUUGUAUUAUUUUGGCUUUAAAACAUAAAUGUACCUUUUUGUUUAUUAUCUUUUCUAGUUAAUGUUGUGUUUACAUAAUUUAUUUCAUUUUAGGAUUUGGAUUUUCUAAUUUUUUUUGUAGUUGGAUUUCCGUAGGCUUACUCUACUGUUGGCACACCUGACUAUAUUGCUCCAGAAGUUUUACUGGGUUAUGGGAUGGAAUGUAAUUGGUAAGCCUUACAUCUAGCCCGCAAGGUGUUCGACGAAAUGCCCGUGAGGGACCUGCUCGCGUGGACCGCGCUCGUCCACGGUCGUCCACGGCCUCUUGGGCCAGCGGGGUGAAUGCGGGGUCGGUGAGGCGCGCGCACGCGACGAGGAGGGCGAAGGCGGCGGCAGGGCCGGCGCGGCGGCGGAGCAGGUGGAGGUAGGCGUAGAGGGGGAGGGCGCGGUGGGGCGCGGCGGAGCGGGAGAGGGCAAGGAGGACGGAGGUGUAGGAGGCGGGGUCGGGGCGGGGCAUGCGGAGGAGGUGGGCCUCGGGCUGGGCGGGACGCGGCAGCGAAAGAAGAAGGAGAAGAAGAGAGAGAAAAAGAAUAGAAAAACAAAGGGUGCAAAAUUUUUCUAAAUAGUGCGAAUAUAAUUUUUAGAGUUACACUGAUAUACUAUCGGUAGCACGGAAGCCUCCGUGCUACCAAAUUAUUUUCAAUAAUGUGGCUUCCAAAUCAACGAUCGGCUCCGUUAGACUUGAUCUACAUUAUUAAAAGUAUUUAGAAACUAAAUUUCAUAAUUUUUCGACAUCAUUUACCUAUCAAACGAGUAGUCCAAAAAUGAACGGCUGAAAAUAAAAAUCUCAUAAAAAAUAAUGAUAGAAGAUUUGAAUUUAAGAUCAGAGGUACUGAUCUUACUCUAAAUAGUAAAGAGAAUUUUCUAUAAAAAUUUCAUCUGAUUUGGAUUGUUUUACAUCGUUGAAUUUACAAAUGCAUCACAGGUACUGAUCUUACUCUAAAUAGUAAAGAGAAUUUUCUAUAAAAAUUUCAUCUGAUUUGGAUUGUUUUACACCGUUGAAUUUACAAAUGCAUCACAGGUACUGAUCUUACUCUAAAUAGUAAAGAGAAUUUUCUAUAAAAAUUUCAUCUGAUUUGGAUUGUUUUACACCGUUGAAUUUACAAAUGCAUCACAGGUACUGAUCUUACUCUAAAUAGUAAAGAGAAUUUUCUAUAAAAAUUUCAUCUGAUUUGGAUUGUUUUACACCGUUGAAUUUACAAAUGCAUCACAGGUACUGAUCUUACUCUAAAUAGUAAAGAGAAUUUUCUAUAAAAAUUUCAUCUGAUUUGGAUUGUUUUACACCGUUGAAUUUACAAAUGCAUCACAGGUACUGAUCUUACUCUAAAUAGUAAAGAGAAUUUUCUAUAAAAAUUUCAUCUGAUUUGGAUUGUUUUACACCGUUGAAUUUACAAAUGCAUCACAGGUACUGAUCUUACUCUAAAUAGUAAAGAGAAUUUUCUAUAAAAAUUUCAUCUGAUUUGGAUUGUUUUACACUGUUGAAUUUACAAAUACAUCACAUCUACCAUUAAAAUUGUCAAUUUUGAGACCUUUUGAUCACUAGUCAAAUGAUGUCGAAAAAUUAUGAAAUUUAGUUUCCAAAUAUUUUUAAUAGUGUAGAUCAAGUCUAACGGAGCCGAUCAUCGAUUUAGAAGCCGCAUCAUUGAAAACAACUUGGUAGCACGAAAACCUCCGUGCUACCGAUAGUAUACCAGCCUAGCUCAUAUAUAUCUAAUAGUGCAAUUUUCAUUAAAACAAUACAAAUUUUUUUUAAACAGUGUAAUCUUAUUUAAACAGUGCAAUUUUAUCAUCUUCUUUCUUUUUUUUAAUAUUUUUUUGAUCUUUUUUGUAUGAAAAAAAUAUUUUUUAUUUUUAUUUUUUUAUUAUUCUUAUUUUUUUUCUGUAUAAAUUUUUUUUUCUCACAACCUCUCUCUUGCUUUUUAUCGCAACCACCGCGACGUCGCCGGAGGCAAUCUCGCCGCCUCCGACGAAGUUGCGGCGUUCCGACGCGCGGUGGAGGAGAAGAGCUUGCGCCUCGCCGUGCCCUAGUGGAGAAGGAGGGUUGCGGCGCAGCAAGGUCGGAGGCGAGGAGAGCGGGGUGCACGUGCGAGGCAGGUGCGAGGCGGGCUGUUUCCGCCUCCGCCUCCGCCUUCGCCUCCGCCUCCGCUGCCUUUUUCGGAGAGAGAAAAAAAGAACGAGAGAAAAAAAAAAAAGAGGGAAAAAAUAAUAAGGGUAUUUUGGUCAGUUCGUUGAAAAUCUGACCGGAAUAUGCAAAAUCAAAAAAUGUGGCCUACUUUUGCAAAAAUGCAAAACUAGUGAAUUUUUUAUGCAAAUUGGCCUAUUUUUUAAGGCCAAAGUUUUAUGUUUCUUGAGUAAAUCAAAAAUAUAUAUCAAAUGAGAUAUUUAUACUUCUAAACAAAGCAUAAUUUGUUUCAUUGUUCCUGGACUAUGGCAACAUGACAACGUCAACUUGAUAUUAUAUAGCAAUUCAAACUAGUUGCUAUCCUAAUUAACAAAAUGUUUGUCCUACAUGAUCUGGUCAAAAGAAAUAUCUAAGUUUAAAAUACCGACGAGGUGUACUUAUACAGGCAAUAGUUUCUCUUUAUUUAUUAUUGCAAUAUUAUUCCGUAUAUGUGACGCAGAUACCACCCAUGUUACGACUUACGAGCCACAAAAGCGUGAGGCUCAAGCAGAUUGCUUGGUCCGCAAGGCUAAUUUGACGUUUUUAUGCUGAAUUAAUGAUUAUUUUAAAAUAGAGUCCGCCUCGAAUAAUUCUAAGGCUAAUUUGCAUAAAAAAUUCACUUAUUUUGAACUUUUGAAAACCGGAUCAUCUUUUUCGUUUUUGCAGAUUCGGUCCGCUUUUUCAGCAAACUAACCAAAAUAUUCUUAUACAUUUUUCUCUCUCCUCUUUUUUUUUUCUCUCGUUAUUUUUUUCUUUCUCUUUCCAGAGAGCGGCGGAGGCGGAAGAGGCGGCUUGCCCGGCGCAUCCUUACCCACGCCUACACACUCCCGCACCUUCCUCGCCUCCGACUCUGCCGAGGCCGCACCGCGAAUUUUUUUUUUUUUUUCCUCUCCGACUCUUCUCCACCGUUUCCGACGACGACGCCUCUCUCGCCUUCCUUGCCCUUCUCGUCCUUUCCCUCUCCUUCCUCCUCGCCUUCCUUGCCCUUCUCGUCCUCUCCCUCUCCUUCCUCCUUUGCCGCCUUCGACGACGACGCAUCUUCGCCGGCGCCGACAAUAUGCCGACGCUAGGGCUGGCAAAGGAGCGGCCGCUCGCGCGCUCGAUAUUUGGUUUCGAGUUGAGCUCAUGACUCGAAAAUUAAUGAGCGAGCUUUUGAAGCAAAAAAAAGCCGAAAUUACACUUCCAACAAGCUUGUUGUUUAUCGCUUCGUUCGAAUUAGUUGAAAAGUCGAAUAUAUAUAUACAUUAUUAUAUAUAUAUAAAAUAUAAUUUAUUCUAUUGAGCUUAAUUACUUACCAAGUAUCACAUCAUCAUGUGUGCUAUUUAGGUUUUAAAGCAUUGUAUUACUUUUUUGAUAUUAAUAGCACUUGAUUAAUACACUUAUUCCUACACCGACUACGACCCACUACACCAUUCAUCUAUCAACCUCACAUCUCUCCACCAAGUCUAAAAAAACACACAAUUAUCCACCAUGAACUUAAAUUUUACAUACUCUAUAUAAUUAUAUAUACUAGUAUAUAUAUUAUGAGAAGAGAGAGAAGAGAGAGCAGAUGAUGAGAAAAUAAAGAAAAAUUAGGAUUUGGAAUAUCAGUAAUAGUAAAAAAUGCUCUUUUUUAUCAAGUUUUUAAUCUUGAUGAAAAUUGUUAGGUCAGAAUAUAUUAGGUCGUCAAGUGAAGUGGUCCCUAGGUUGAGUGGGUCCCCCCCACUGGUUACUAGUAUUUAUCCAAUGAUUACAAUAAUGAAAAAGUGAUUCAAAGGCUUAAAAAACUGUAAACAAUAGGAGUUUUGCUACAUAUAUAGCUCAGUCCAUUCUCUCUCUCUCUAUUGACUGGGUCCUCGGUCCUCUCUCUCUCUCUAUACUAUAUAUUCAUUAGGUUAUUUGCAUACUCGCCCUACAACAUAUGAUUAACAAGAAAUAUUCUGCGAAAAAACUGAAACUCCAUAAGUUACCUGCAAAAUCUAAGUAUCAAUAUUUCUUCCGUUAAGACUGUUAGAAAAUUUUAUCGUUAACGCACGGUUUAAAGUAUUAACAAUGGUAAUUAUAAGGUAAAUUACGAUUCUACCAUUCUAUCUCUUCACCCUCUUCUUUCCCCUCUUUGCUCGGUUCGGCCUGGCGAGGGCGCGGCGGCAGCGCGGCAGCGCGGCGGCGGCACACGGAGACAGACCGCGACGAACGAAACCUCUCUAUUCUUUCCUCUUCUUCCUCUGCUCCUCUUCCUUUCUCACCUUCUUCAUUCUCUUCUUUCCUCUCCAUUUCUUCAAUGCCGGGAGGAUAAGAUCCGACGGCGGUAGCGAAUCCUCUUCCGCUCUCUCCUAUCUUCUCUCUCUCUUUCUUUCCUCUUCCUCUUCUCUUCCUUUCCUCUUCUUCAUGCCGGCAAGGGAACUAUCGUCGGUGGCGCGCGCAGGGUCGAGAACCCUCCCCUCUUCUCGUUUCUCUCCACUCUUCUCUCCCUUCUUCUCUCCUUCUUCUUUCCUCUUCCUUUUUUCUCUCUUCAUUCAUUCUCUCCCCUUCUUUCGUCGCGGCGACUCGACCCGCCUCACUCGCCAUCCCUCGGCGCCCGGAGAGAAAGAGAAGAGAAAGAAGGGGGAAGAUGCUUUUGGAGGGAUAUAUUUUGAGGAAGCAAAAUGGUCCAUUUCACAUGAAAAACUGUUAAAAACUUGUUCUCUUAACAGAUGUAACAGAGGGACAUAUCUGGAUAACUUAUAGAUUGUUGCAGGACCAACUUAAUGGAGUUUUCCGUUUGCAGAAUAUUCCGCAAUGACUAUGUUUGCAAGGGACCUGUAUGCUAUCAACCAUAUAAGUAUAUAUAUUAUAUAUAUAUAUAUAUAUAUAUAUAUAAUCUAUAUAAUAUUAUAUAAAAUAUAUAUAGUAUUAAAAUAUAAUAUAUUUUAAUUAUAUAUAGGCUGAGUGAAUAAUCUGAGUUUAGUUAAAAUUGGGUCAAUGUUGUUGACCCAUAAAAACAAAUCCAAUAGACAAAUAAAAGAGCAAAAUUUCACUAAAUUUAUACAUUUUUCCUUUCUUUUUUUCUUUCACAGAACUUCAAAUUUUCAAUAUGUUUCUCUCUUUCUCUUUUUCUGUCUCUCACCCUAAGUGGCCAAGCUGGAAGCCCUCCAAGUUACUAAGUAACAGUAUAUACCUGCCGUUGCCUACCUUGCUAUUAAUUGUAUGCUUGAGAAAAUAUACAGAAUAUUUUUAAAGUAAAAAAUUAUUAUUCAUAUAAAAUUUUAAUUUUAGUUAUAUAUGAUUGGAUAGUUUAAUCCAAUAUUUAUCUAUAUAAUUUAUUUAUUUUUGACUGCAUAAAUGAAAAUGAAUAAUAUGGAGAUUGAAUUGGUAGAAAAGACAUGUGAGGCUGAAAAGAUUAGAUGUUCAACUCAUAAUUAUUUUUUUCAUAUUAUAAUACUAUAUUUUAUAUAAUUAUUUUGUACUUUGAACUAUUAGACUUAUUUUUGUAUUAAAUUAUAGAUAAUGUUCUAUACAAAUUAAACUAUUGAUCGUAUGAUGUUGAGAAUUUCAAGCUGCUCGUUUAGGGCUCGAGCUCGCUCGACUCGAAAUUAGGCUUGCACGAGCUCGGCUCGAAUUAAUUUUAAUCCAAGCUUUAGCUUAAAUUUAAGCUAGAAAUUAAUUUCAAGCCGAAUUUGAGCUGAGGUCAGCUCGCUCGAGCUCGACUCGUUUCCACCCCUAGUCGACACAUCCUUACCCUCGCCUGCACACCCCGCACCUUCCUCGCCUCCAACCUUGCCGAGGCGGCACCGCGACUCUCUUUUUUUUUUUUUUUUUUCUUCUUCGACUCUCCUCCACUAUCUUCGACGACGACGCCUCUCUUGCUCUUCUCCGCCCUUCUCGUCCUCUCCCUCUCCCUCUUCCUCUGCCGCCUCCGACGACGAUGCAUAUUCGUCGGCACCGACGCCGUGGAGGUCACUGCGGCGUUGUAGCCUCGGAGCAGGAGGUCCUUAGCGACAUCGUCGAAGGCGCCGUGGAGAGGGGUGACAAAAAAAAAUUAUAAAAGAAGCAAGAAAAAAAAAGAUAAAAAAUUAUAAAAAAAGAAGGAUGAAGAUAAAAUUGCAUCGUUAACUGUAAAAAGAAUUAUAAGUUGCACUAUUUAAAAUAUAAACUGUAGCUUUAAGAUAAAAAUUACACUCUUUCAACGAAAAUUACACUUUUUUGGAGAUAUUUACAUUGUUUCUCCUCNGCUCUUCUCCGCCCUUCUCGUCCUCUCCCUCUCCCUCUUCCUCUGCCGCCUCCGACGACGAUGCAUAUUCGUCGGCACCGACGCCGUGGAGGUCACUGCGGCGUUGUAGCCUCGGAGCAGGAGGUCCUUAGCGACAUCGUCGAAGGCGCCGUGGAGAGGGGUGACAAAAAAAAAUUAUAAAAGAAGCAAGAAAAAAAAAGAUAAAAAAUUAUAAAAAAAGAAGGAUGAAGAUAAAAUUGCAUCGUUAACUGUAAAAAGAAUUAUAAGUUGCACUAUUUAAAAUAUAAACUGUAGCUUUAAGAUAAAAAUUACACUCUUUCAACGAAAAUUACACUUUUUUGGAGAUAUUUACAUUGUUUCUCCUCUUAUUUUACUCUUUCAGAUAUAAACUGCACCACUAAAAUAAAAGUUACACUCUUUAAACAAAAGUUGCACUGUUUUUCCUCUUGUUGCACCAUUUCUUCUCUUGUUACACUAUUUUUUUAUCUUAAAUUGCACAAACUUAAGAGAUAUUUAUACUGUUUCUCCUCUUGUUGCACUGUUUUUCCUCUUGUUGUACUAUUUCUCAUCUUAUUACACAGUUUCUCCUCUUAAAGGGUGCAGUUUAAGAUAAAAACAGUGUAACAGGAGGAGAAAUAGUGCAAUAAGAGAAGAAACAGUACAACAAGAGGAGAAACAGUAUAAAUAUCUCUUAAAGGGGUACAGUUUAAGAUAAAAAAUAGUGUAACAAGAGGAGAAAUAGUGCAACAAGAAGAGAAACAGUGCAACUUUCGUUUAAAGAGUAUAACUUUCAUCUUAAUGGAUGCAGUUUACAUCUGAAAGAGUGCAAUAAAACGAGAAAUAGUGUAAAUAUCUCCCAAAGAGUGUAAUUUUAGUUUAAAAAGUGUAAUUUUCAUCUUAAAACUGCACUUUACAUUUUAAGUAAUGCAACUUAUAAUUUUUUUUUAGUUAACGAUGCAAUUUCAUCUUCAUCCUUUUUUUUCUAUAAUUUUUUAUCUUUAUUUUUUUUAUUGCUUCUUAUAUAAUUUUUUUGGUCACCUCUCUCUCCCAACAGCCACGGCACCGACGACGAUGCCGCUGAGCAUCCCCCGCUUCGAGGCUGCAGCGCCGCAGUGACCUCCACGGUGUUGGCGCCGGCGUCGGGGCAGGCGAAGAUGCAUCGUCGUCGGAGGCGGCAGAGGAGGAGGGAGAGGGAGAGGAAGAGAAGGGCGGAGGAGGGCAAGAGAGGCGUCGUCGUCUGAAACAGUGGAAGAGAGUCGAAGAGGAAAAAAAAAAAGAGUCGCGGCGCGGCCUCGGCGAGGUCGGAGGCGAGGAAGGUGGGGGUGUGCGGGCGAGAGUCCGCUCUGUCUCCCCCGCUCUCUAGGACGAGAAAAAAAUAACGAGAGAAAAAAAGAGGAGAGAGAAAAAGGUAUAAGGGUAUUUUGGUUAGUUUGCUGGAAAGCGGACCGAAUCUGCAAAAACGAAAAAGGUGGCCCGGUUUUGCAAAAGCCCAAAAUAAGUGAAUUUUUUAUGCAAAUUGGCCUAAUUCUAAUUACAUAAUAAAGUAUUUACUCUUUGGCUAAUUCCAUCCCGUAAAUUAUAUUAUUCUACUAAUUACUCACUAAAUUUAGUGACUUACAAUUUUCAUCCACAGGCCAAAAACAUAAUAGCGACUUAGGUUUCAUUUAGAAUUGCGGGGAGAUUAUGUUACGAUAGGGUGAGAAAGUACGAUAGAAAAAUAUUCUGUUUAUUUUCGUACGUAAUAUUAUGUUUCGUAAUGUUGAUAAGUCAGUUACGAUAUAUUUUUUGUUAUUCCAUCGGAGAAUACAGAAGCAUAUUAUCUGCUUCUACCCCAACUCUAUUUUAUUUAAUAUCGUCGUAGGGCCUCAAUACCAAAUUGAGCCUUAGUGCUAUUAAAAUUAUUUCAACUCAAUUCCUUAAAAUACAUUAACAGUGGAAUUACUUCAUAAGUCACUAGUUGAUUAUUUCUGCAACGUAUUAUCAAUCACUUUUAUACCUUUGAUGUUAACUUUCCGGAGGAGACCACAAAUCCACGAAAUUAGAUUAUAAUCUAUCUUAAAGGAAUAAAAAAAACAGAAAAGGAAAAGACAUACAGCUUCUCAUUGUCGUAAAUUAAGAAGCCAAAAUAAGCACCCAGAUUUUGCACAUCCACGGCAAAAAAAAACACUAAAAAAAAAAAAACUUUAAGGAAAUCUUUCUGGUUACAGGCGCGGUACAUAGGAUAUACUGUAAACUAAUUCUGCUAUACAAGAAAAUUAAUAAAAAAUUUAAACAUAAAUAAUAAUUUUAUAUUAAAAUAAUUUUAAAAUUGAUGUAUAUAAAAAUAUUUGAGUAAAAAUAUUUUUUUAAAAAAUAUUAGAGCAUAUUUGGUUUGAAAUAUUUGAGAUUUUAAAUGAAAAAUCAAAAUAAGUCAUUACAUAUCAUUAUUAUUGUGUGAAUUAAGGGAUACGAUUUUCAUUUCGAGUGAAUUCGAAUCUCUCAAAAGUAACUCCCACCUCUAUAGACUAUAGAGCGAGACGAGAGUUGACUUUAAUUCGGGAGUGAUUGAAAAUUUAUUUUGUCUAGUAAUAAUUAUCUGAAUUCAAAUAUAAAUUAUGUAUUUGAUUAAAUUAUAAAUUUAAAUUUAAUUUUAAAAUAAUAAAUUUAAAGUACAAAUUUUAAUUUCUUAAAUUCUAAUUUAAUAAUUUUAAAUUUUAAAUUUGACUUUGAUCAUGAAUUUGAAUUAUAAAUUUAAAUUUUAAUUAUAAUUUAAAUUCAAGUUUUAAUUAAAAAUUUUAGUAAUAAAUUUAAAUCUUAAUAAAAAUAUAUUUUUUUGAAUUUUAAUUUAGACAUGAUUUUAAUUCGAUUUUGAUUCCUCUUACGAACGAAACAAAUUAUUAAUUGUUAUCAUUUCGUUUUCGCUUAUAUUUUUAUUUUAAUUUUGAUUUUUUUCAUAAAUAAAAUAAAUUAGUAUUUUUAUCAUUCCCUUUUCGGUUAUAAUUUUAUUUCAAUUUCGAUUUUUUUUUUUCUGAACCAAAUUUGCUCUAAUGGUAACAGAAAAGACUUUGCAUUUUGGUCGAAGAAUGCAAUGAAUUAUAUAUUAUAUUUUUUGGGAGAAAUAAUCUCUCUAACGUGUGACAGAUUUGUGCAAUAUUAUUAUUAUUAUUUUUAACAUAAAUUAUUAUAUUAUAAACCAUUACUCUAUUUUCUAUUGAAAUUUCAGGCUAUUGGAUUCCCGAAGCAUCUGAUUUUUAGCCUAUGAUAUAUAUAUAUAUCUAGUAUAUUAUAGUAUAUAUAUAUAGAAUUGAGCUAGAAUACUUUUUAGUAUUAUCAUCCCUUGGUGGCUAUUAAGUUUUUAGCCAUUGGAUCUACCCUAGAAUACUAAUAAUCCUUGAUCAAACACUAUUCCACUUCCACCAGCACCACUCCACAUUCAUCUUAACCUCACAUCUCUCUAUCCAAGGGUUAAAAACUCAAAAGCACCAACCUCUUGGUGCUUUUGAGAGUAUUCUACGGCUAUAUAUAUAUAUAUCUAUAUAUAUAAUAUAUAUAUAUUAUAGUAUAUAUUAUAUAUAUAAUAUAUAUAUAGGCUGGGCUACUUAUACUCUUAUGAGUAUAGACCUCUCUGUACUCAUAAAUUUUUACCGUUGAUUUGGAUGGGUAUUGUGGUUAGGGUGAUGGUGUUCCCACUUAGAUAUAGUGUCCCUAGGUUAGUGAGUAGUUGGUUAAAUAGUAUGAUCUAACGAAUGAAAAUGAUUAAUGGAAUAAAUCUAAGGGUCUGAUUAAUGGAAUAAAUCUAAGGGUCAAAACCUUAAUAAGUAUAAAGGAGCCAAUACUCAUAAAGAGUAAAGUAGCCGACUCUAUAUAUAUAUAUAUAUAUAUAUAUAUAUAUAUAUAUAUAUAAAAUAUGCCCAAACCUAGCUCAUCUAAUCCGCAGUAAUUAAUUAAACUCGGUUUACUAUCCUCUAUUCUCUUCCCCUCCAAGGCUCCAAUGGCGCUAAUCCUCUUCUACCCACUAUUCCUGCUCUUACUCCUCUCCUUCUCGCUCUCCCUCCUCUUCUCCAAAUCGAGAUUCAAAUCCAAACUCAAUCCGUCGACUUACUACCCACCGAGCCUCAAACCGUACCCGCUGGUCGGCCACCUCCCGCAGUUCCUGGGGAACCGGCGGCGCAUGGCCGACUGGCUGGCCGAGACGCUCGCCGCCGCCCCGACCAACACCGUCACCUUCCACCGCCCCGGCGGCGUCCGCGGCGUCAUCACCGCCAACCCCGCCAACGUCGAGCACAUCCUCCGCGCCUGCUUCGACAACUACCCGAAGGGCGCCCGCUCCUCCGCCCUGCUCCACGACUUCCUCGGCCGGGGCAUCUUCAACUCCGACGGCGACGCCUGGCGCGCCCAGCGCAAGACCGCCAGCUUCGAGUUCAACACCCGCUCGCUCCGCUCCUUCGUCGUGCGCUGCGUGCGCCGCGAGGUCGCCGCGCGCCUCAUCCCGCUCCUCGACGACGCCGCCGACCGCGGCCGCGUCGUCGACCUGCAGGACGUGCUCGAGCGCUUCGCCUUCGACAACGUCUGCCAGGUGUCCUUCGGCCACGAUCCGGCGUACCUCGACGUCGCGAAUCCGGACUCGGCGACCUGCAGCUUCGCCGAGGCGUUCAGGGACGCCGCCGACCUCAGCGCCGGGCGGUUCCGCUACGCGGUGCCGCGGCUGUGGAGGAUCAAGAAGCUGCUCGGGGUCGGAUCGGAGCGGCGGCUGGGAGAGUCCGUCGCCGCCGUGCACGCGUUCGCGCUCGAGAUCAUCCGGUCGAGGGAGAAGGAGGGCCGCCUCGCCGGGGCCGACGAUCUCCUGUCGCGGUUCGUGGCGAACGAGGAGCGCUACUCCGAGGAGUUCCUCCGCGACAUCGUGAUCAGCUUCCUGCUCGCGGGGCGCGAGACGACGUCGUCGGCGCUCUCCUGGUUCUUCUGGGUCCUGUCGUCGCGGCCGGACGUCGAAAGACGAAUACUCGACGAGCUCAGAUCCGUCGGCGGCGGCGGCGGCGGCUGGGGAGGAGAGCUGUUGGGGUUCGAGGAGCUGCGGGAGAUGCAGUACCUGCACGCGGCGCUGACGGAGGCGAUGCGGCUGUACCCGCCGGUGCCGGUGAAUUCUACGGAGGCGAAGGAGGACGACGUGCUGCCGGACGGGACGGUAGUGCGGAAGGGGUGGUUCGUGUCGUACAACGCGUACGCGAUGGGGCGGAUGGAGGCGGUGUGGGGGGAGGACUGCAGGGAGUAUCGGCCGGAGCGGUGGCUCGACGGCGAGGGGGCGUUUCGGGCGGAGAGCCCUUACAAGUACCCGGUGUUCCACGCGGGGCCGAGGAUGUGCCUGGGGAAGGAGAUGGCGUACAUACAGAUGAAGUCCGUGGCGGCGUGCGUGGUUGGGCGGUACGUCUUCGACGUCGUCGAUGGGAGUUGCCCGGAGAAGGUUUUGUCGCUCACGCUCCGGAUGAAGGACGGGCUGCCGGUGCGGGUCAGGCGCCGGUGCAACGACGGCAGCUCUUGAGACCUGCAGACUGCACGGACCGCCUACACCCACGUCAGCACUAUUUUAGGACUUUUUUCGAAAAUAACUCUGUGAAAGUUCGUAUUUGUCAAACUAAUCCCGUGAAAUUUUUAUUUGUAAAACUAAUCCUCCUUUCGCCACGUGGGCGCCACGUCAGGGAUUUCUCAAAUCCUCAAAAAGGCGGUGAAUCGUUCACCGUCUUUGUAAUUUUUGUUUAAAAGCGGUGAAUGGUUCACCGUCUUUAGAAGACGGUAAACCAUUCACCGUCUUUAGUGCAAAAUUUUUCAACGACACCAUAUUAUGAACUUGGAAAGAUUUGCGCAGUGUAGGAAUUUGUACUAAAAACGGAUUUGCGCAGUGUAGGGAUUUGUACUAAAGACGGUGAAUGAUUCACCGUCUUAUAAAGAUGGUGAACCAUUCACCGCCUUCACAACAAAUAUCAAAGACGGUGAACGAUUCACCGUCUUUUUGAGGAAUCCCUGCCGUAGCGCCCACGUGGCGAGAGGAGGGUUAGUUUCACAAAUAAAAAUUUCACAGGAUUAGUUUGGCAAAUACGAAAUUUUACAGGAUUAUUUUCGAAAAAAAUCUCUAUUUUAUCCCCUUGUAAUGUAAGUUUGUUGGAAACUAAUAACAAAUUUUAUUUGUAUAUUAAAAAAAACCCGUCGAUGUUAUGAUUCUUAUUUUAUGAUUCACAAAAAUUUAAAAUAAAUUCUAGUUAGAAAAAAAUAAUAUGACUAUUUUCUAAAUUUAAAUAAAUUUUAGUUAGACAAAAUUAAUAUGGCAAUUUGGAUGGAAAAGAUAUAAGAUAUAUUAUUCACUUUUAAAAUGGAUUCAUAAUGUUCGUCAUAUUUUAAUAUUUUAUUUUUCUUUUUAUUUGGAAAAAAAAAAAAAAGUUGGAAUGCAUUACCUCCCUGAGUAGGCACAUGAUCGAUAUGCUGUUUUAAGAUUUUAAUUACUCCGAAUAAGUGUUAUAUUUAUCUUCAAUAUUGAUAGGUAAACGUGGCUGAAGCUUAACUUUACCAAUUUAAACGAGUCCUUAACCGAGAUUACAGCUUGAAACGGCAAAAUCCUGGUUUGUGAUGUCAAAUUUAGAGAGUCCUAAGGAAUAAAAUUGAGUUUUGCGGUUGGCAAAGAAAAUUGGUUCUCAAUUAAGCAACAAAGACUGGAGCAUAUAGUUUUUAGAGCCCAGCUAGAACUUUUCGGGAAGCACGAAAGUUUCUCGAGCUGAAGAAAAUAGCGUACCGAUCGUGUACUUAAAAGAGUAUAGGCAUGCACAGAGUUUGCAGGCUUCGACUCUAACUCUGUCCAACUCGACCUGCGCUAUGGGCAAGAUGUUGGCCCAUUUAAUUCAACAAAACCUAUGCCGCUGAUUCUGAGACCACUUGUGAAAUGAAAGCGCUAAUCAAUCAUUUAAAAAGCUCGAGCUUAAGAAAAAGAUGCACCAAUGCAUCCAUCACAAUUAAAUCCUAUAGAAACACAACACUCAUGGACAUCCGCCGUGACUCUGUCCAAUCCAACCUCCGCCGUAGGCAGUGCUGGCUCAUUUAAUCCAUCAAAAGUUACGUUCAAUAAUAAGACUUUCAAAUUAACAAUCAGCUUCGUUAAAUAUGAUUUACAUAAUUGAAAGUAUCUCAAAAAUAAAUUUUAUAAUUUUUAGACAUCAAUUGUUUAAUAAAAAAAUAAUCUCAAAGCGAAGGACUAAAAAUAAAAAUAUCAUAAAAACGAAUAAUACUAUACUUAAAAAUUUUACAAUAUAUUUUACAAACUAGCAUAUAUGACGGUAUCUAUCUAUUAAAUCCAAUGAAUUCUCAGUCCGAGGUGAGGCCGGAUGUGAGGCGAUGUGGAGCCUCCACAUUCAUUUGAAUUAUAUGGGGCCCUUUUUUGGAUAAAUUACAUCAAUAGUUCUAAAUUUUUUCUAAUUUUAAAACUAGGUCUUUUAUUUAUAUUUUUUUAAUUAAUUUUUAAUCUAUAAAAUUAUUUUUAAUUGGGGUCUCCACUAUUGUUGGUGCUGACGUGGUGUUGGGUUGACAUAAUUUUUUAAGUUAGUAGUAUAAUUAGUUCCCAAACUUUUUUCAAUUUUUCAAUCGCGUCCUUAAUUUUAAUUACUAACAUGUCUUAUAUUUUUCUUACAUUUUUUGCUUGCUCUAUUUCAGCCAACUUUGCUAAAUUUUUUUUUAAUUUUUAAUUUUUUUAUAUUUAUAGUUUUGUAAAAUUAUCUAAUUUUUAAUAUGACCUAACAAGUUUCAGCUUUUAAUACUAUCGAUAGCAUUAAGCUCUUAGUACUAUCGAGUUUUUUCCUGUUAGACUUACCCUUUGAUCAUUUACACCCGUUAGAUUAUACUAUUUAAUCAACAACCCACUCAAUCCUAAGAAAUUACUAUCAUCGUAGCCGCCGCACAUUUUUUUCAUCCAACGGUCGAAAACUCGAUAGCACCAAAACGCUUUGUACUAUCCACAGUAUAGUAACAUAUAUAUAUAUAUAUAUAUAUAUAUAUAUAUAUAUAUAUAUAUAGAGUCCGGCUACUAUGCUAUUAAUAGCACGAAGCACUUGGUGCUACCAAGUUUUCCGCCGUUAAAUCUACCCUUUGGAUCAUUUUCACCCGUUAGAUCAUACUAUUCAACCAACCACCCACUCAACCUUAGGGGGCCCACAUCAUCCUAACCUCACAUCUCUUAAUCCAAUGGCCAAAAACUUGGUAGCACCAACGACUUGGUGCUAUUAAUAGCAUAGUAGUCUAAUUCUAUAUAUAUAUAUUAGUGACUAAAAUUUGGUAAGAUUAAAAAUAAUUUCUAUAAAACUAGAUAUAACUAUAACUUAACUUAAUGAAUUAAUCAAAAUAGAAUAGAGUUUAAAAAAACUUUACAGUUGAAAAAAUCAAAGCAUAUCUAUAAUGAUAAAUAUCAGGACUCAGAUUGUCCAUGGGCUUAGUACUAGAAAAGAAUAAGUAAAUAAAAAUAAAUUAAACAAGUUACUUAAGACAGGGAAAUUUUUUUAUUCUUAAAUAGUAAUUAAUCUCUUAAGCUUAUCAUUAUCACUGUUAUUAUUAUUUCGGAACAAGCAUACAAAUGGAUGGAUUGGUAUGCUGGAUACCCUGUUUCAUUUCGUUAUAAUCAGAGAUAAAAAUAAUUUAUUUUUUAAAAAAAUUAAGCUAAUAAGGAAUGGCACUUUUCAUAUUAAUACGCAAAAAUAGAAAUAGUUAGACAAUUAAUUGAUCAUUGGGCUGCUUACGGGAAUAUCUUAUAUGUAGCAAUAUUUCCCAUAUUGAGACGCACGGGAUAAUAAAGAUAGAAGCACUUCUUUGCAAAACAGGAAUGAUAAAAUAUUUGUAGUACAACAAUACCAAGAGCAGUAAAUAUGAGUAGGGCUACUAUGAUGUUAUGACUAGAGAUUUUUUUUAUACUCAUAAGUUUAAGGAAUAUACGGUUAGAAUAAUGAUGGUUCCUGAUUAGGAUGAUGGUAUUUUCUUAGAGUUAAGUGGAUGGCUGGUUGCGUAAUAUGAUCAAACAAAUAAAAAUGAUCAAAGGGCAUAUCUAAUGGUCGAAAAUUUAUGAGUACAAAAGUAUUUAUACACAAGAGUACAGUAGAUGGACUCGGGCAAAUAUAAUUAAUUAAGUUACAGCAAUGGGAUCCAACUUGUGGGCAUAAGUAAUUUUUUUUUUGGGUUGUGUAGAUUUAGUAAAUAUGUUAUUAAACAAGGUAGACUUGUGAAUGGUAGUACUCUAAUAAAUACCAUUUAAAGAGCUCUAACCCCAAGACUACAGAAAGAAAAGUGCGGGUUAGUAGUCUAGGGGUGUAAAACGGACCGGACGGCUGGCACGACAUUGAGCCGGGCCUAUGCACGGCAGGAGUAUUGUAGCACUCAUGCUGAGCCAGGCCGUCCGAUGAAUCAAGUCGUGCUCGACCGCUUUCCUGUGAACUGUUGGCCUGGCACGAUACGGGCCUGCACCGUGCCGGGCCUGAGAGUAGGUCCCGGCCCAGCAUACGGGCCGUGUCGGCCCGGGUCCCAAGGCCUCCCACCUCCCAAUGCUUUGGGAGUAGGCCUGGCAAACGAGCGAGCCGGCUCGCGUUCGACUCGUGUUCGGCUCGAUAUUCGGCUCGCUCGAGCUNGCUUUUGGAAGUCCGGAGUUUUCAAUGUUGCGACUUUCGAAUCGUUGAUCGGCUCUAUUAAACUUGAUCUAGAGUACUUGAAGUAUCUAAAAAAUAAAUUUUAUGAUUUUUCGAUAUCAUUUGCCUAGUGAUCAAAGGGCCGGCUCAAAAUUAAUAAUUUUAAUGGCUGUAGUGAGUCGUUUGCAAGUUUAACGGUGUAGAAAUAUCCAAAUCAUGUGAAAUUUUGAUAGAAAAUUUUUUAUACUAUAUAAAACAAAAUCAAACACUUAUGCUAGCAUGUUUUCCACUAUUAAAUUUACCUCUUUGGUCAUUUCAAUAUGUUAGAUUAUACUAUUCAACCAACCACCACUCAAUCCUAAAGUACCACUAUCAUUCUAACUGCACAUCUCUUCAUCUAAGGACCCAAAACCUAAUAGGUCAUCAAAGCUAUUAGAAGUGUUAUAGCCUAAUUCUAUAGUUUUCUUCGUACAUUUACAGUUCCCUCUCUAGGGUUAGUGCGGUUUGGUGGAAUUAUGAGUGUAUCAUAUUAAAUAUUCUUCGCAUGGUGUAUGUUUGUAUAUACACUACAUGCUUAAAGUCCUUUGAUAGAGAUUUAAAAAUUAAUUAUUAAAUAUAAUUUAGAUUAUUAGACUUUAUAGAUAAGAUGUUUUUAAUUAAAUUUUGAUACUAAUAUAUUAGUCAUCUAAUAUAAAUAACAGUGAAUAAAGUAUUAAUAUAUAGCAAGUAGAUGUAAUAAUUUUGUCUUUCUUUAAUCAAUUUUAAUAAGAUAAAGACACCGUUUUUUAUUCGUCAAUUUGAAAUAAGUUCUCCAACUUUAACUGUUUAGUUAAAAAAGUUAUUUAUAGAAUAGUUAUAAAAAUUAUUAAGUUUAAUUGAGUUUGUAAAUAAAGGUUUUAUAAUAAUUUAACUUUACAAAUAUUAAAAGUUAAAAAAAAAGCAAUAAAAAAAUUAUUUUUAAUGAUGUACAUAAGACCACUUUAUAGUUUUUUUUUUUAAAAAAAAUUCUUUAGCUAUAAUUUUGUCAAUCAUUGAAUUUAAUAAAUAUACAUUUUAGUAAAUUGAAAUACUACUUAUCUGCCACAAAUCGCGGGUCCUAUACUAGUUUAAUUGAUGAGGAAAUGUAUAUCGCGAGGAGGGAUUCAUGAAUUAUAUUUUGAAAGUUAAAAUCUAACAAUUAAGUUGUAAAAUUUGUGAAAUAUUGCAAGAUUUAUUUAUAUGCAAAAUAUUUUUCCAUAAAAAUAAUGAUAGGACACUUAAAUUUUCAGAUUAAUCAUGUUCCAAAUUUUGCGAAAAAUCUCUACCAAAUUUUUGUUUGAUUAGGAUCUCUGUACACCAUUAAACUCGCAGACAUGUUUAAUCAGCCAUUAAAAUUCAUAAUUUUAAGAUAUUUUGUCACUAAUCAAAUAUUAUUGAAAAUCAUAAAAAAUUAAUUUCUAAAUACUUGCAAUAGUAUGAAUUAUGCAUAAUGGAGCCAAAUCUCGAUUCGAAUAUUCUAUCAUCAGAAACAAAUUUAAAGUACAAAAGUUUUGGUGCUUCUAAACGUAUUCAAAUUGGACUAACAGUUUUCAUGCUAUUUUCAUGCUUCUAAACGCAUUCUAAUUGGACUCAUAGUUUUCAUAGGAUUUUCAAAAGAUUUAUUUUAUUUUUAUUGUUUAGAAAACAGAAAAGUCACAAAAAUCAUAUUUUUAUAUCAUGUAAAGCCCGAGUAACGGGAGGAUAUAUAAUUCCCCUAAUAAUUGAGAUCAAGGGAAAAUCUCUAUUUCUUUGGUCACAAUUUAGAUGUAGCUUUCUUUCUAAGAAAGUUUUCAAACUUCCGUAUUCAAUUUUGACCAUCAUCAGUGAGAAAAAACAAAGAUCCAUUCAUUCCACUCAGAAAAAUCAAAGCACGAAAGAGAUAGGGAGAAGGAAAAUACAAAAGAUCAGAAGGAAACUACAAAAACUGUUUCUUUCUAAAUAACCGUGAAAAUAUGUUCAUACUUGCUUUCAUAUACCGUACCAAAUUAAUAAAAGGCCUUUUUGCAUAAAAAAUUCACUUAUUUUGGGCUUUUGCAAAAUCGGGUCACUUUUUUCGUUUUUGCAAAUUCGGUCCGCUUACCCUUAUUACUUUUUCUCUUUCCUCUUUCUCUCUCCUCUUCGUUUUCUCGUUUUUUUUUUUUCGCCGAAAAAAAAUGGCCUUUUUGCAUAAAAAAUUCACUUAUUUUGGGCUUUUGCAAAAUCGGGUCACCUUUUUCGUUUUUGCAAAUUCGGUCCGCUUUUUCAGCAAACUGACAAAAAUACCCUUAUUACUUUUUCUCUUUCCUCUUUCUCUCUCCUCUUCGUUCUCUCGUUCUUUUUUUUUUUCGUUGAAAAAAAAAGCGAAGGCCAGGCGGCGCCAGGCGGGCUCUUCUUCUUCUUCUUCUUCCUGCAGGAGCAAUUUUUUUUUUCUCUUUUUCUUUUUCUUCUUCUUCUUCCUCUUGCUGGAGCACUUUUUCUUUUUUUUUUUUCCCCUCUUCUUCUUCUUCUUCUUCCUCCCGCUCCGGCCCCGCACCGCCCCUCGUCGGCUUCUUCGGCCGCGCCCACGACCUCAAUCCCGCGCGCCGCGAGUGGGUCUACGGCACGCGCCGCGACCGCUACUCCAUCNNNNNNNNNNNNNNNNNNNNNNNNNNNNNNNNNNNNNNNNNNNNNNNNNNNNNNNNNNNNNNNNNNNNNNNNNNNNNNNNNNNNNNNNNNNNNNNNNNNNNNNNNNNNNNNNNNNNNNNNNNNNNNNNNNNNNNNNNNNNNNNNNNNNNNNNNNNNNNNNNNNNNNNNNNNNNNNNNNNNNNNNNNNNNNNNNNNNNNNNNNNNNNNNNNNNNNNNNNNNNNNNNNNNNNNNNNNNNNNNNNNNNNNNNNNNNNNNNNNNNNNNNNNNNNNNNNNNNNNNNNNNNNNNNNNNNNNNNNNNNNNNNNNNNNNNNNNNNNNNNNNNNNNNNNNNNNNNNNNNNNNACUCGAAAUUAGGCUCGCUCGAGUUCGGCUCGAAUUAAUUUCAAGCCGAGCUUGAGCCUAGAUUUAGACUCGAAAUUAAUUUCAAGCCGAAUUUGAGCUGCCAUAAGCUCGCUCGAGCUCGGCUCGUUUCCACCCCUAUUUGGGAGUUGGGAGCCGGGCCUUUGUGCCUCCCAAGGGUCUGCCAUAGCAGACCCGUUUGGGAGUUGGGUUUUGGUCCUCUUUGGACCAAAAUACCCUCCCCAAUUGACCGUUGGAGAGGGUAUUUGGGUCCAAAAAAGUAUUUAAAUUUUUAAGUAAUUUUAAAAUUUUAUUAUUUUUAUAAAUAUGUUUCGAAAUUUGAAACGUUUUUACUCAUAUAUUAUUUUUAAAUAAUAGUAUUUUAUUUUUUUAUUUUUUAAAAUUUAUAUAUUUUUAAAUAAAAUUUUAAAAACAUAAGAAAAGGUUGGCCCGAAGCCCCCGCGGCCCGGCACGGCCCAUGACGUCCGGGCCGGGGGGCCGUGUUGGGCCGAGAGUCCAAGUACUAUUGCCCGACACAGCAUGGCCUGACUUUGGGGCCGGGCCGUGCCAGGCUGGCCUCCGGCCCGUUUCGGCACAGCUUAAUGUGGGCUGUGCCGGCCCACAUUACACUCCUAGGUUAGUCAUAUAGUUUUAACUAGUGUAAUGACCCGCGCUUCACAGCGGGAGGUCGUAACAUUGAAAGCUAAUAAUGUGACUUUCAUUAUAUUUAUUUAUCACCAAACAUACAGAUAUAUAUAACAUUCACAUUAUGUAAGAUAAAUAGAGACAAACAUACAGAUAUAUAUAACAUUCACAUUAUAACAUUCACAUUAUAUACAACAUUCCUUCACGUAGUGAAAUAAGUAGGGACAAACCUACACAUUCAUGCACCUGUUUGAUGGUGAACAGCAAUGCUAUAUAUAGAAAAAGUUGGGGGGAGGAUGCAUGCACUCUAAUGAUAAGAAAGAUAGCAAAAGGACAAGAAAAUAUUCUAUGUACUAUGGAAUUUUUUGUUUCAUGCACCUUGUGUUUGAUGUUAAACAAUAUUGGUAUAUAUAGAAAAAAUUGGGUAGGAUAAAUGCAUCGGAAUGAUAAGAAAGAAAGCAAAAGGAGAAGAAAUAUUCUAUAUAGUAUGAAAAAUUUUGUAAGAGAAAAGAUUAUCUUGUGGAUGAGAUACUAUUUCUAUNGUAAUGGUGCACCAUUGCACCAUUACACCAUUAAUGGUGCACCAUUACACCAUGAAAUUACACCAUUAAUGGUGUAAUGGUGCACCAUUGCCCCCUUCUCUCCCCUCACGUGCGGCACGCACGGGGCCCACUCCAUCCUCGUCACUCUCUCCCACCACCUCCCCACGGUGCCCGGGGGCGAGCUCGGUGGCUCAGCGGGGGAGGAGCGGCGAGCGGGGGCGAGCUCGACAACGCGACGCGCGGGGGCCAGCUCGGGGGCGCAGCUGUAGCGACGGAGGAGCGGUGCGAGGAGGAGCAGGAACUUGGCGAAGAGGAUGGAGUAGUGGUCGCGGCGCGUGCCGUAGACCCACUCGCGGCGCGCGGGGUCGAGGUCGUGGGCGCGGCCGAAGAAGCCGACGAGGGGCGGCGCGGGGCCGGAGCGGGAGGAAGAAGAAGAAGAAGAAGAGGGAAAAANGAAUUUUCUGUAAGGAAUAUAGUUUUUUUUUUUUAGGAGAUACACAGUGUAAAAAAAUAUUAAACUUUGAAUAUAUGUCGGAAUUAUUUUUCUUAGGUUAGAUUUAAAGUUUCGUAUCAUUUUGACACUCCAAAAGUGAGGACGAAAAAUAACAGCAAUCUAAUAAAGAUUUUAGUUGGUAGACCUUUCGGCGACAAAGAAAAGAUUCGUAACUGUAAAAUUAAGAUGACGUUUUUCUGGUUGAUUUUAACUGAGCUUGCCUUGAAAAUCAUUAUUGUUUAAUAUGAUACACAGGGUGCAUGAAACAAAAUGUUCCAUAGUACAUGACCCUUUAACUUAGCCCAUGUGAGUCCAUGUGAGGGAGGGAAAACUUGUGAGGGAGAGAGAGAAAACCCAUAUAAAAGAAAGGCCACGUGACUCGACGGAGGAACGGCAUUUGGUUUCAACUUUAGUAUAGAGUUUAAUAAACAACUUCUGAAUGCAUGUAUUAGAGAAGAAAUUGUUGGGAAUCCAAUACUCGCCUCGGUACCGAAUUUUGAGAAUUCGCAAUCCACUCUGAUAACGACUACUAUUGAUCCAAUACCAAAUGCUGGGAUUCUGCAAUGAAAAACUUCGAAUCAGAUUUUUUACUGUGAACUCGUGUGCUCAACAGAAGCUGACACAAUCACAAAAAAGAGAAAAACCAAACUGAAAAUAUACGGGUAAAAGAAGAUUUAUUAAAUAAAAAAGGAUUACACAUGAUUCCUUUUCUACAACAGAAUAGCUACAAUCUGAGCACUCUUUUUGAAUCUCUCAUAUCCUUCUCUCUUCAUCUAUAAAUCCACAUAUGAAGACAACUCUCUUUUCUCUCUCACAUACAUCCAUGCACUAAGUGUGUACAAUCGAGCCUAGGCUUCUCCACGGUACGGUUACCACCAUAAAAGGCUCUCUCAUCCGUAUAUCAUCUAGGCUCUCCUCUAUAAUUUGAAUACAUGGAGUUAUAUAUAAAGGCUUCACCCAAAAUGUUCCUAAAUCCUAGAAUAAUUAGAAUUUCUAUUCCAAAUAAUAUGUAAAUCUAUAUUUAGUUUAUCUUUAAUAAAUUUAAAUAUUUAUUCUAGUCUAGUUAGAUUUAUACUCUAAUUAAUAUUUACAUUUUAAUUUAUCUCUAAUAAAUUUAAAUAUUUAUUUUUAUCAAAUUAAAAAAUUAAGUACAAAUCUAAUCAAAUCCUAACAGAAAUGUACUAACAAAAAGAGAGCAGGCGCAAGAGAGAGCUUCAUAAGUUCUCGUUGAAAUAGUUUGGUGAGUCAUAUGAUUUACCCUCCAUCCGAAUUUUAAAAAUUUGUUUGAAUUUUAAUUCUAAAACCUCUAUUGUUGAAUUUUAAGAGCACAGUGCAUAAAGUUUGGUAAAUAAUUUCUUAAUGAAAACGGCCAAAUCAAGAAAAAAGAGAUUAGGAAUGCACAAAUCCUAUCACAAAUGGCUACUAGGCGUUGUUUAUGGAAAUCCCUCACGUUGCAAAGAUAGAAGUUGAGUGAUUUUAUUACCACCUUGGAGCAUAUCAUCGCAUCACCUUUUGCUCUGAAAUCAAAGAGAUUGGGGAGCAAUUGGUGCAUGUUCAAUCACAGCUCUAUUCAGAUCGUAGCUCAUAGCAGAAUUUGGUGGGUAAGCUGAACAAUUUUAUUCAAAUAAGAAAAAAUCUAUUUUCUGCAGAAUCCUUUGCAGACGACUUAAAUACGCAACGGAACAUUGUAAGUGGCAGAGUAGCCUUACUGCCACGAUCUGCUGAGAUCUAGCCCCUCGUCGCACGGAUUCGCAAUUAAGAGAAGAAACCUAUUGGUUUCUACAAUCACAGGUAAAAUGGUUGAAGGUUGGAGACCGAAAUACUAAAUAUUUUUAUGCAGCUUCUCCUAUCUAGCGCAGAGCAAAUAUUUAAAAAAUAAUAAAACUGUAAAAAUUUAUUAAAAAAUUUAAAAUUUAAAUUUUGGGGGCCGUGUUGUGCACUACUGGGCCGAAGCAAUGGAUUCAUGAUCAAACUUCUAUUAGGAGAAUUUUUGUUGACCAUUUCAAAACUAUUUGUUCUUCCUAGGCUGAGCCCCAUAGAACUCCUUUUUUACAUUUGAUAUUUUAAGAACUUUUCCUUCAGUUCCCGCUGAUUUUUAUAAGUCUCUUUGCUCUCCUCUCCGUAUUCAUGAGCUUACUGAGGACAACAAGCUUGGCAUUUCUUUAAAAAUGGUAUCUCUCAACUUAUAACCAGAUUUUUUUUUUUUUUUUCAAUCUAAAGUUGUUGCUACGGUCAUUCACAGAUCCUGAUCACACUUUCUCAUGCUUUCCAAUUCGACACCGUUUUAUUGUCUUCUUCAUAUUAGAUUAGAAUUAUCUUACUUACUAAAUUAUGAACAAUAUUUUAUUUGGAAUAUCUACUAGAUUAAGAAUAUCUAUGUUUAUCCUAUUCUUAUUUAGUUUUUUUUAUUAAUAUUAGGAUUUGUGAAAUGAUUUAAGGCUUAUAAAUAAGAGGCUUUCCUCUAGAUUUUUUUUUUUUUUUUUUUUUUUUUANNNNNNNNNNNNNNUUUUUUGAGAGAUAGGUAGCACGCUACCCGCUUCGUUUAUUUCAUUUAGAAAUAAACUUAGCUAGAAAUGUGAAUCAACUAGGAUUCGAACUUGGGUCUCGGAUACCAAUCACAAAAUUCUUUGCCACUUGCUCUAGGGACAGUUGGUGCUUUCCUCUCGACGUUAAAUACAAACGUUAAGUCCUUCUUGAAGCAGAGAAAUGUCUAAUACAAACAUUAAGUCCAUCUAUCAGUAUCAAAAAUUAGGAGCGGGAGAGUCUAAUAAUUUGGUAUCAAAGUCUUGUGAAAUCUGAAGCUACAGGUUUUAUUUUCUCCUUCAAGUUUGCGUUUGAUUAAAGAUUGAUGUUUUUGUUGCGCUCGACGUCCUACAUACUAUCUUCUCCAUGUGUUGAAAACUAGAGUUUCUAUCUAAAUCAAUUUCCAUCGAUCACUGCAGUUUUCUUUGCGAUAAUUUAUAAGUUGUUCAUGUUACAAGCCAAAUCGAGUCGCUUUUAUUGUCGAACAAGUUCGCUCCGAGCUACAUUGAACCAACUUUAAUCAGCUAAAUGCUCUCGACUUAAUUAAAUUU
rnacentral:lncRNA from 1 species